UUUUUUUUUUUUUGGUUAAAUGACUAAUGCGAUUUUUAAAACAUUGGGACUAGCUUGCUUCUUGCACCUUCUCUUUGAAUUGAGUUCCACUCACCUAAUGUAAAUAGCACUAAUAAGAUGGUCCAAAAUUCAAAGGCUGUGGCUCUGAACAUGUCAAACCCCUCUCUCUCUCCCAAUAUAUAUAUAUGUAGAUAUUGCUUAAUCUUUUUCUUUUUUCAACACCUACUAAAAGGGACUUCCAGAUUCUUCUAGAGUGUUGGCCUACUAUUCUUGAUUAACAAUUGUAUCAAAAUUCUAGCCUUCAUCAAACUUCCUGCGCAGUGAGUCGAGCAUGUUGACAAAUUAACCAACAAAGCACCGCAUGUUUUCGGAUGCCCUUUUGAAAUUUAGCUCCCUUAACUAAUUGGGGGUUACAUAUGCUUUAAGGAACAUGACGACCUUAGUUUUUUCAUCUAUUAGUCAAACAAUUUGCACCUUCUGGAAAGCUUUUCACCUUCAAUUGUCAUAAGAAACAAUCAAAAGUAGUUAGCCCAAAGAAAACAAAAGAGAAAAAGGAAAAAUAUAAUCACCUUGGACUUGGUGUGGAUUGUCCAGUAUUAAGGAAGAGGAGUAGAUUUAGGCAUUAGGAUGAUUGAUUUGUUUGUAAUGAUUUAGGCUAUGUUUGGUUCUUGGAAAGUAUCAAAAAAAAAAAAAAAAAUGUUAAAAAAAUUAUUUUCUCAUGUUUUGCUUUAUUAUUAGAAAUACGAAAAAAAAUAAAUCAAAUGUAAUUAAAAUUAUUAAGGGAUAUUUAUAUUUUUAAAUUAUAUAACAUUUAUUUUUUAUUCAUUCUAUUUUUUUUUAUAGAAUAAAAGAGUAUCAUUGAAAAAAUCAAAUUAGAAAAUAUAUUAAAUUAGUUUGAGAUGAGGAGUUUGGAGCUCUAUUGAAAAGUAUGCAAAGGACCAAUAUCAUGCCAUUAUAAUUAAAGCAACAUUAAAAAUUAUAUAUAAAAAAUUUCGUAUAAGGUUUUCAACUAAACAAAAUUAGAUAAUGUAAUUCUUGUAUUAAUUUUUGUACAAACAUAUUUUUUUAAGUUACACUCUUGAAAUAAUAUUUUCUAAAACAUUUAUUCACUCAAAAAUAAAAAUUUUCAUCCCAUAAUCAAACACACUUCUUUUACCUCUAAUAUAGAUACAGCAAAUAUAAGAAGAAAAUUAAGAGUGUUUUUUACGAUGCUUUUACUUAAAGUGUUUUUUUUUUAAAGUAUCAAAAAACAUUAUAAGUGAUUUUUCAUAUUUUUAAAAGUGUUCCCUAAAAUUUGUUAAACACCUAAUUAUUUUUUAAAAACAUCUUUUAAAUUAAAAGUACUUUCUAAAAUUAUGGUCAAACGUACUUUAAGUUUUAAGAUUGAAUUCUCUCAUUCACUAAAUAAUUGUCCUUUUUAUAACUAAAAACCAACCAAUUUAAUUUUUAAUACAUUAUAAAAUGCCUAGCAUGCGAAGCCUAAAGUCAAAGCUCUCUCAGGAUUCAAUAUCACUAAUUUCCUUAGUUGCUAAUUUAGAGUGCAUUAGUGUUUCUAUUUAAAAUAUUUUUAAUAAAAGCGUUUUCUGUAUGAAUGUUUCUUAAAAAAUCUCUUAUAAAUGUUUCUUUAAAAAAUAUUAUAAAUGAUAUUUUAAUUUUUUUUAAAAAUAUUUCCUAAAAUUUAUCAAAUACCUAAGUUUUUUCAAAAACAUUCUUUAAAUUAAAAAUGUUUCUUAGAAUAAUUAUCAUACAAAUUAUUAAUAAAGUCAUUCCUCGCUACAAGUUAAUGCUCAUCUUAUAAAAUAUUUUAUACUAACAAAGGAUUAUACAAUGAUAAUUCACUUUACCAUCAAAUAAGGGGAAAAAAAAGAAGGGAAAAAGAAACCUCAAAUCAAUUAUUUAUGGAUGAUACAAUUAGCCCUUCAUCUCAUUCUCCUUGCUCUAUUUUUUAGUUAAGAAUUAUACAAAUGGCAAUUCUCUCUUCUAGUUAAGUAUUAAUUAACCAUCACACAUCCUCCACAUCCUUGCAAACUUCUAUUCAUCAUUACAGGAUUUAAUCUUAAGGGUACGGAGACACAGAACUGGGUUGGCAAAAUUUGACUUUGAAGUCAAAAAUUCAAAGUUUGAAUAUAUAUACAUAGACAUUUAUUGGGACGCUAAAUUUUAUGAAUUACAAUUUUAGCACUGUGAAUUUAUAAAUUAUAUUUUAUUCUUAAGCUCUAUUUGGAUAAGGAGAAGUUGAAUAAUGCCAUGUUUGGUUCAGAAAAUUUAAGGAAAAACGUGAGGGAAAGAAAUGAAGAGGAAAAAUAGAAAUAAAAAAAAAAGAAUAGCCCGACGUGAAUGCCAUGUUUAAUUUUUUUUAUUUUAAUUUAUUAAUAUAAUGAUUAAAUAAUUUUAAAAUAUAUAAAAUUUUAAUUAUUUUUAUUUUUAUUUAUUUUUUUAAAAAAAUUCUAUAAAAUAGCCCGACAUGAUAAAAUAAUUUUUAAAUAUAUAUGUUUUUUUUUAAUACAUUUUGAUAAUCAAACAUUACAAAAGAAUAGGGUGAAAAAGUAUCAAAGAAGAAAAUGAAAAAAAAAAGUAAAAAAAAAUUUAGACUAAGUCUUCUUUGUUCUAUAGUUUUUACAUCCUUUGAUGUUUAAAAGAAUUAGAUUAGUAUAAUUGUGUCUUGCAGGCAUUCAAAUCCAAAAAUUUAGCUGAAAAUUCGAAAUUUUAUUUUUCAAAUAUGUUUUACUUUUCAAAUAUGUUUUACUUUUUCCACCUCUAUUUGAUGUGAUGCAAUAAUUGGCAUAUUUAAUGGACUGCGGGGAGGAGAAGACUACGAUACAAGGUCAUGUCCUAGCCUUCACGUACCUUCGUACCUAUUGGGAUGGUUUUUAUGUAAAGCUGAGAUGAUCCAAAGAAGACUUUUUCUAAGAUCUAUCAUCUUCAUUAGCAAAGACUCAAAAUUCAUGACUUGGCCGGUGCCUUUCCCAUUAUAAAGAAGUUUCUCCCAACUAAAAAGGGCGAGACAGCUAGAGAAACAAAGAGGUGCAACAGAUGAUGAUGAGAAGCAUGGAUGCUGAUAAAGAAGACGAUCAAUUUUUGUUGCCAGGGUUUCGGUUUCAUCCCACCGAUGAAGAGCUAGUGUCCUUUUAUCUUCUCAAAAAGAUCGAGAAGAAGCUGACCGCUAUUGAGCUUAUAAAACAGAUUGACAUCUACAAAUAUGACCCCUGGGAUCUUGCAAGUAUGAAAUUCUGUAGUUCUAACUUUUCAUUGUUUUAUUUCAUUCCUGUUUUCUUUCGAUUUCUGCACCAGUUCUUUACUUAGGUUCUCUGUUGAUUAGGGCUUGGAAUGAUAUUUAGUGCAUAUGAAGGAACUGGCUUCAUAUUUACCCAACAAAAAUAGAAAAGAAAAAGAAUAGGAUUUGUAGCUUUUGCAUGGUAAAACAAACAAUAAUCCAAGCACCUCCAGCUUUUAUAAUUCUUGGGCAUGCAUGUUGUAAAAACAAAUCCUCCGGCACCUGUAAACUGUCCAUUAUAGAAUUUGAGAUGAGUUGAAUAUGGAGUUUCAGUUUAUAAAAGGUUUGAUAGGAAGAGGUUGUUCCAUCCUUUUUCUUCUUUGAUUUUUCCUUCAUCAAAUCCUGAGAAAAUCUAUGCACGCGGUUUCUCUUAUAUAUUAAGCUUAACCAUUCAUUCCUUUUCAAGCCUUUUUCAUCUUCCUGACCCUAGAAAAUUAUGUGGUUAUAUCUUAAUAGUUGGGUAUUUUCUUAUGACAUCUACAAUGAAGAUCCAACUUUCUCUCUCUCUCUCUCUCGCUCUCGCUCUCACAUACCUAUUUUUUUGUAAAUAUGCAGAAAAUAGCCGGACUGUUACAGACAAAGAGUGGUAUUUCUUUUGCAGAAGAGGGAGAAAAUAUAGGAAUAGCGUAAGACCCAAUAGAGUCACGGGGUCUGGAUUUUGGAAAGCAACCGGCAUAGACAAGCCAAUAUAUUCUGUUGAAGAAGGACACAGCCGCGGUGACUGCAUUGGGUUGAAGAAAUCAUUAGUGUACUAUUGUGGAAGUGCAGGAAAAGGCACCAAAACUGAUUGGAUGAUGCAUGAGUUCCGCCUCCCCGCAGACCAGAAAAAUGCUACUCUCCCCACUGCCAAGGCUGCUGAUCAAGAAGCUGUAAGAAAAAAACAGUUCCCCAAUAUACAUGUGCCAUUGAAUUUACCAUUUCCUCAAAAUCUCUAGUACGUUGGUUAAUUCUGUGUUAUGCUUUUUGGGAUUGUAGGAAGUAUGGACACUUUGUCGAAUUUUUAAGCGAAAUGUGCCACAUAGAAGGUACACACCAGAUUGGAGAGAAGUACCUGCUAAACGCAACCCAACGAAUUCAAAACCUGAAACAUGUGAUAUGAGUCCAGAAAAUUGGGAAGGCUACGUUAGUUCUGGGGCUCCAGUUUCUCUUCAUAAAGGGAAGAAGCCUGUUGGUAGUCACAUUGAUGAAGGGAACCCACUGCCCGCAGGCCAGGUGAGCUCGAUUGUUCAAGGUUCACAACCAGAGUCAUGUUCAUCAAGCAUUUUGAGUAACGAUGCUAGGGAGUUCUUUGCACAUGGAAAUUGGGAUGAGAUCGUAUCAUUCAUGGAGCUUUCUUUUGAUCCAUCAUCUAUAAAUAAUUUUAAAAUUAUGCAUUAGUACUGAAUUUUAGUUAUAUAUGGUCUACAACUAGGGGUGCAGUUUACUGUUUGAUGUAUGCAUAAAACUAAUUUCGUGGUUGAAUAUUGCUCUCUUUCUAGUAACUUACUGCUCAUCAUCUUUAGCAGAAUUAGUGUGGUCAUAUUGGGAAAAUUAAUUUAUGGAAAUCAUGGUCACCACACAAGUUGAUAGAUUUUGUGGCUGCUGGGGUUUCAAGAUUGGAUUUGGGGGCUGAUUUAAUAAUGUAAACCUACCAACACCUUGGCCCUGAUCAGUGGCCGGCUUCACCAUCUAGCUGUUAGAAACAUAAAUAGCUCUAGGUUUAGUUAUAAAGUCAAAACACACCCACACACAGGUAGAUAACACACCCACACACACACACUGUAUAUGUAUACUGACAUAGGAUGCUACAGUAUUUUUCUUGGUAUUUCUAUAUUUUCAUUAUUUACUAUGUAUCUUAAUGGGAUUAAUCAUAAUGCCUUCUUAAAUUUCUAAAAUUUUUGGUGUCUUGUAUAUUUUUCUUAUCUUUCAUUAGUCACACUCAAUGAUUAAAAUAUUGAAAUAACGAAAAUAUCAAUCCUUAGAUUUUACAUAAAAAUCAUAAAUAUAAAAAAUAUUGAUGAAAAAUUUGAAAAAAAAAACUCAAUAAGAUUAAAAUUAAUCAAAAUUUAGAUAAAUAUUAUAAAUUUUUUUAAGAAAUAAUAAAAAUAAUAAUAUAAAUAGUAAAGUUGUUUUACUAGAAAAAAUAUUGCAUAGAUAUAUUGAUAUAAAAAAAGAAGAUGAUUUAUGUAAUUUUUUUUUUGUUUAAAAAUGCUUGUGACUUAUUUAUUAGUUUAUAUUUAUAUACAUUUUUUUAUUGUAAAAUUAUUCAUUAUAAAAAUUAUCACCAUGUUUUUAUAUCAUGAGAUAAUUAAAAUUAAUUGAUUUAUCUAAAUUUUAUUUUUAUAUUUAAGUGGUUUUGGAAAAAGCUUUAAUUGACACAAUCAGCAUAUAUUUAAUAUAUGUGAUUAUAAAUAAUUAAGGGCAACUUGCCCUAGUGGCAAGGGUUAUGUUUUGCAUACCCAAGGUGGGCUCAAGCAGUGGCUUGUUUUUUGAAUGUGGAAAGAGGAGGGGGAAAAAAAUUUGGCCACACUUGGGCUGAGGCAGGAACCAUACUCCUAAGAAAGACAAUAGUGGUUCCAUAGUGGGAAAGAGACUGAUGGAGCAAUGAUGCAUGGAGAUGGUGGGUCAUGGGUUGCCAAUUAUGGUUUUCCUAUAGAGGCAGUAGUUACAUUAAAAAAUUUAUUAACUAUUAUUUAUCAAAAUUAAUUUAUAAUUUGUUUUGAUCUUGUAUGCGAAAUAACAUUGAAUCACAAUAUAAUGUAAUGACAUUUUUUAGUUAUAUUGACAAUUUUAUUUCAUCCACCGACUUUGUAUAUUUUUACAUGAUUUAUACUACUUUUAUAGAAUCGAGGUUGCUGCAGAAUCAACUUGGAUUACCAAAAUAGGUAUGAUUAAGUUAAUUGAAGAUAAUAACGUAAAAAUGAACUUGUACAGAAAUUAAAAAUAUAAUUAUUUUGGAAACAAAUUUUUAUGUACAUAUUGUAUAUCAAGGAAAAGGAAAAUAGACAUUUAAAAAAAUUUAAAAUAGAAAUAUUAAUCUCAGUACUAGAGCAUAUAGCACUCAAGCGCCCUCAUGGGUUCGUCCAAGAGUUCCCAAAGCAUUGCACUCAAAACACCCUCAAGGGCCACUCAAGGGUUCCCAAAGCCUUGCACUCAAGCGCCCUUAAGGGCCACUCAAGCGCUCUCCAAAGCCUUGCACUUAAGCACCCUUAAGUGCCGCUCAAGCGUAAGCUGCGCUCAAGCACCCUCAAUGACCACUUAAGCAUUUCCAGUACUCAAGCAACCUUACCAGGAGCUUAAGCAUUCCCAGCACGCUGUGCUGAAGCGCCCCCAAUUGCCACUCGAGCGUUUCCAACACUCAAGCAAGGUACCAAGUGCUUGAGCACUCGGCAUCCUAACCCCUGAAGGCUAAAUCCAUCCAUUUCCUCCACGAACUCAACCAUCCUUACCAAGUCCAAGUUACCUCUUAUCUUUUGUUUUGUAGCUAACAAAUAUAUAAAAACUAAGGUACAAAAAAUGUGCCCCAAAGUAAUUAACGGAGCUAAAUUUCAAAAGCCGAAUGCAUUUAUGUGGGUACUGUACUAAUGAUGUAGUAAUAAGUUUGACCUUAUAAAUUAAGAAGAGUGGAGCAAUAUUGAAAGGACCUUACACUAGGUGUUGAAAAGAAAGAUUAAGCAACAUCUGAUCUCCUUUUAAAUUCUCAAAUUUAAAAUCAUUUUUCAAAAUAAUUUUAUUAUUUGGAAAAAAAUUCUUUUUAAAUUAUCAAUUUAAAAUUAUUUUCAAAUUAAUGUUAUUUCUAAUUUUCAUGUAAAUCCACUACUUUUUUUAUUCUCAAUCAUUGAACCAUACUUAUUUAUUUAAUCGCAAGUUGAUUCUAUAGCAAGUUUGAAUCUUCAAAUGAAUGUAAAUUAUAAAAAAGUACAUAAAGUCCUAAAUUAGGAUGAUGGGAAUAAAAUUUUCAACUUAAUAAAAAUAGUUUAUUAAGUUGUACUUCAAAAUUUAGAUGAUCUUAUGUUGUAUUGCUUAUUUCUCUUUCUAGAUUCAAAUGAAGGCACAGUGUUAUUUAUUAAUGGCAGAUUGUCCAUUAUACUAUUGAUCAUUACUAGUAGAUUUCUUUCAAACUUUAAUUUCAAAACCUGCUUUGACCAUCAAAGAUAAAUCAUUAUUGACAAACAUCUAAGUAUUUCCUAAGCUCGAUCAAAGUUUUGUUGAUUCAUAUGCAUUUAAAUUUCAACUUUCUUUUGCAAAUGAAAUUCAAAAAAUAAUAAUAAUAAUAAUAAUUAAAAAAAAACCUACUAAAAAAUAAGAGCUCGUUUAGCUAUGUUUUAUGUAUAAAAGAAACAAGUGAAUCAUUUUAGAUCAAUUUUUACUCAUAAAUUUACAAUAUUAAUUGAAUCACUAUUUAAGUCUCAAGUUAUUUUUAAAAAUUAGUAGAUUCAUGAAUGAAUCCAAGACAUUAAGUCUUACUUAAUUUGAAGUUUAUUUUCCUAAUGAACAUAAUUUGUAAAAAUAUAAUUAUAUGCAAAGAAGAAACUAGCCAAGUCAUUCAAAAUAAAUUUUAGUGUAUGACUUUUUAAUAUUAUUGAGUUUUAUGACCUUUUAAUACUAAUUAAAUCGGUUUUUGAGUUUCAAAUUGUUUCUUAAGCCCCUUGAUUGAUUAUACCAUAAAGGCCUAAUGGAAUAAUUACCUAUUCUAUCUUAUUCACUACCAAUAGUCAUAUUCAAAUUAAACUGCUAUCAAUUAUAAGCUUUAGUCAUCUAUUCGAUCAAUGUGUCUUUAUUUUUAAAAAUUGGUGAAAACAAUUUCUAUUUAUUCUCUAACAAUUGUUAUCUAUUUUAUUUUAUUUUCAAAAAUUUAAAAUAAAGAACAAUUUUUAAAUAGUACUAUGAAUUUUUAAAAUAGCUUUUUGUUUAUAUGAACAAAAAACUAUUCUCUAAUCACAUAGCCAAAUAGGCCCUGAAGAACAAAAAUCAAGACUAAUUACAAAAAUACCUAUCUUAACAAUGCAAGAGGGAAGCUAGUAGUUGAAAUAAUUGGUGCAUUGGGGUCCACUAGCCUUUCUUUUAUAUUAAUCUAUUAAAGGAGUUCCAUUGGUUAUUCACAUUGCAAACUGUCACUUCCAUAAAAUUAGCAGUAUUUUAUUAAAGGUAGUUCCACUGAUUAUUCACUUUGCAAACCGUCACUUUCUAAAAUAUUGUAUCUUCACUUAGUGAACUUUUAGGUCAUCACAAUGUCAAUUGGGACAAAAAUCACAUUGUAAGUGUAAUCUUGACCUUAAACUCUCUUCUCCCCCAACUCUCUUACUGUCCCUGUGGAGUACAAAUUGGAAUUUUUAUUUUAUACAUUGGAAGAAUCUGCUUAUUUAUAUCAGUUAAUAAAAGAGCCCAAUGCAAAAAAAAAUUACGAGCAUGAGAAAGUGAAAAUGGGACAAAGAGACAUAAACCAAAGCAAAGAAUUCACACUAUAAAAAAUGGUACAAUCUUCAAGGUGUGCUUUCUCUCGAGACACUAGAAUUCUCUUAGGCUUGCAUGUUUUCUUUGUUUACCACUUAUUGGACCGCCAACUGCUUUCCAAGAUGCUACCACUUAGCCAAAUGACAUAGGACAAAUGGAAGUUUAUUGUCCCACAUCAGUUGAUUAUCAACAUUGGUUGGGCCUCAUGUGGGACUACCUCUAUUCUCCAUUAGCUUAGACUUUUAGGAGUGUAUAUGGUUCGACAUCAUUUAAUAUUAGACUGAUAUUUGGGUUGGCUUACCUAGUAGUUGUUGAUAUGGACAUCAAGAACUAAAUGAGGGUGUUUGACAUAGGAUGAAUGGAAGUCAAAUGUUCCAAAUUGAUUGAUUAGUGACGUUGGUUGGGCCUUAUAUGAAACUACCUCUACCCCCCUUAGCUUUGGCUUUUGGGGGUGUAUAUGGUCCUACAUCACCAAACCUUUAAGACAACAUUUUGGACCUACAAAAUCCCUCAUAGUAGUUGGGAAUGAGGCUUUUGGGCAGCUCCAAAGAAGAAGAGAAGUUGAGGGAUUUUCAACUACCAUCCUCAUGUAGUCUUUCUUAUUCUCAAGCUAGCUCUCUUUCGUUGCAAUAUUAUAUUUGUGUAAUUAGUUUUUCAAGACUUUAGUAUAGUUCCCUAUUGUGUAGAUAUUGACCACUUUGAACUCCAAUUAAAUGUUUAUCUCAAUUGCAAGUUUUGAUCUUAUUUUCUUUGUUCUUUAACAUUUGUUACUAGAAGUUCUUCAAAGUUAGGGAGAGUGGUCCAUGAGGUCCCUUCGAGAACAAUUAAUACACAUCAUGGGAGGAAUUGAUAUUGUCUUCACCAUGUAAUUGAAGAUUCCCCAUUGGAACGAAAACUCAUUUUGCUCCUUGGAAUGGAAACUUAGAAGUUACUUUUUAAGGUAUUUUAAGUGUCGAGGGUUCUAACCCUUUUUUGAACUUUAGGCUACUUUGUUUCCUAAAAUUUUAGGGAGAACAUGAGGGGGAAAAAAAAAAAGUAAAAUGAAAGUAAAAAACUAGACUUAAAAUCAAUAAAUUAUGUUUAUAUGCUACUUCAAACUCAUUUAUUUUAUUUUAACUUUUUUUAUAUUAGGUUCAAAUAAUUAAAAAAUACACAAAUUUUUAAUUAAUUUUAAUCAUAUUUAAUUUUAAAAAAAAUAUUUUUAAUGAUAAAAUUGAAUAUUAAAAAAUUAUUUUUCUUAAUAUUUUUUUCUUCCCUUAAUCCUUGUUUAGAACCAAAUAUAACCUUAAGACUGACAUCGGCAUCACAAGGACAAUAAGGCUUUUAAAAUGGAAAAAAGAAGGUUAAGGUUGCAAGGCAAAGCUACUUAGACAAAAUCACUUCAAAUACUCUACCUAGGUUUUUCCCUAUAAAUGCUAUUGGUUGUAGGCUUUGAGUCGUGCAUUGACUAUGAAAGAAGGAACCUCAUUAGACCCCCUAUGCUUGGCAUUUAAAUUUAUUCGUUUUUUACAUAGCUAUAAAUCAUUGUUUUCACUUUUUCUAACCAAAGAUUUCCCAGGAUUCUCUCAAUAUCUCCUUAUUAAACAACUCUCUUUCAACCAUAAUGUAAAGAGAAAAUCAGCACCACUUUUGGAACUAAUUCACGUCAUACCUCUCAAUGUCCCCUGCCUGCCACUUUGGAACAUUAUACCUGAGAAAACCAUACCUAUCCUACCGUAUUCUUUGCUUGCAAAGACUCCCUGUACUUGGGGAAUCUACAGUCAACAUUCAGGGCUUAAGAAUUCUUUUCAUUUUAGGCUUUUAGAGUAACAAACCCACAGUAUGCAAGUAAAUGGGGAAAUAAUUGGUGAUUACAAUAUACAGAGAACAAAUAAAUGAACUAGAAUAAAACAAAUAAAAAAUUUUCAAAUUUAAUUAUAAAGCGCACUCGGUAUGUUAGGCUCAAUAUUAGAAUCUAGAAAAGAUCAUAAGGAAGAAUGAACUCAAUAAAAGAUUACAUACAAACAAGUCAAAAAUGACCCAAAAAAAUAACAGGCGUUAAAGUACCACUCUAAGAUGUAUGAAUCCACAAAAAAUUUGGGAACAAAAACUGACAAACUAAAAUUACAAGUAUAAAGACUGAAAGUCGUCUAUUACUGUUUAGAAAACAAAUACACUUGAGGAAGAUUUAGAAUCCACAACUGCUGUCGUCUCGUGUUUGGGUUUGAACUAAAGCUUCAACAAUCACUCAUGAUAGAGAUGAUGGAGAAUUUUGAAUCCACCAUUAUUUUCUCAAUCAGACAUCCUCUAAAUCCAUACAUUCGUUUUUGACUUUCCAUGUUUCAGUAAUGCAUUUUAUGGUUUUGAAAUAUGAGGUUGUCUGUUGGUUCCCAAGUGUAAGAGAUUAACACUUUCAUCUUCACCCUUCAUUAUGAGAAAUUGCUCUCAUGUAGGCAACACCUAUUUCAGCAAGGAAAGAUCAAUGGUAUCUUUUAGGCCUUCAGAAAUAAAAAGGACAGAACAAUCUUUAGAAAUAUAAAAUAAAUUAAUAAAACCACACUCUUCAGUGAUCUUCAACAGAAAAAUCAGCAUCUUUACCUUCUCUCGUUAACUUUGGAUAUAAAUGAACAUCAUUUAUAUAAGCAACCUAUCGAAUAAAUAUAUCUUAUUAGACUAUGAGUCAUGUCUUUUUUAAAAUUCUUAUAUUAAAAGAAUGGUACAAAAAGAACCAAUAAAAACAAUGUCUAUCAUAUAUUGUGAAAACGAACGAUUCCUACCCACUUUUAUAUCAAACACUGAAGUGGUUUAUUUUUCCUAUAAAAAAGAAAAGAAUUUAUCAUUUGAAAUUCAACACAAAAAAAAAAUAAAAAAAGCUAGGCUUCAAUAGUAUUUCUCAAUAGUUGAAACCUUCAAACUAGUGAUUUAUAGGUUCAACUAAUAUCAUCAAAGCGUGUCAAUAAAAGGAUAACUAUGCUUAUAAAUGUUUAGUUAAAUCUAGAAUCAAAAUUUUAAUUCAAACAUUUAUAGGAAAACUGUCUAAUUAAUUAUAUUAAAAGAGAACAAUCUCUAGGAAAGAAAAAAUAAAUUGAUAGAACCAUAUUCUUCAAUGAUCUUUAACAUAAAAAUCAGCAUAUUUCCCUUCUCUCUUUAACUUUGGGAUAUAAAUGAAUUUCAUUUCUAUAAGCAACCUGUAAAAUAAAUAUAUCUUAUUAGACCAUAAGUCAUGUCUUUUUUAAAAUUCUUUUAUUAAAAGAAUGAUAUAAAAAGAACCAUAAGAACAAUGUCUAUCAUGAAGCCAAAGCAUCAAUCAAAAGUACAGAAAGGUUAAUCCUCUUUCAUAUUAAACAUUGAAGUGUUUUAUUUUCCUUAUAGACAAAAGAAAAGAAUUUAUCAUUUGAAAUUCACCACAAAAAAAAAAAAAAAGUUAGGUUUCAAUAGUAUUUCUCAUUAGUUGAAACCUUCAAACUAAUGAUUUAUAGGUUCAACUACUAUUAUCAGAGCAUGCCAAGAAAAGGAUAACUAUGCCUAUAAAUAUUUAGUUAAAUCUACAAUUAAAUUAUAAUUCGAACAUUUAUGGGAAAAUUGUCAAAUUAAUUAUAUUCAAAGUCUUGAGUAGCAUAUCUUUUAGGCCUUCAGAAAUAAAAAGGACAAAACAAUCUCCAAGAAAAAUAAAAUAAAUUGAUAGAACCAUACUCUUUAGUGAUCUUCAACCAAAAAAAAAAAAAAAAUCAGCAUAUUUCGCUUCUCUCAUUAACUUUGAGAUAUAAAUGAAGUUCAUUUAUAUAAGCAGCCUCUCGAAUAAAUAUAUCUUAUUAGACUAUGAGCCAUGUCCUUUUUAAAAUUCUUUUAUUAAAAGAAUGGUAUAAAAAGAACCAUAAGAACAACGUCUAUCAUUAAGCCAAUAAUAAGAAUCAACCAACAGUAUAGAAAAGUCACCAUCCAUAUAUUGUGAAAACGAUCAAUCCUACCCACUUUCAUAUCAAACACUAAAGUGGUUUAGUUUUCCUAUUAAAAAAAAAAAAAAAAAAGAAUUUGUUAUUUGAAAUUCACCACAAAAAAAAAAAAAAAAAAAAAAAAAACAUAAAAACUAGGCUUCAAUAGUAUUUCUCAAUAGGUUCUUCUAAUAUCAUUAGAGCAUGCCAAGAAAGGGCUAACUAUGUCUGUAAAUGUAUAGUUAAAUCUAUAAUCAAAAUUCUAAUCCAAACAUUUAUAGUAAAAUUGUCAAAUUAAUUAUAUUAAAAGUCUUGAGUGGCAUAUCCUUUAGGCCUUUAGAAAUAAAAAGGACAGAACAGUCUUCAUGAAACAUAAAAUAAAUUAAUAGAACCAUACUCUUUAGCGAUCUUCAACAUAAAAAUCAACAUCUUUUCCUUCUCUCAUUAACUUUGAGAUAUAAAUGAACUUCAUUUACAUAAGCAACCUAUCGAGUAAAUAUAUCUUAUUAGAUUGUGAGUCAUGUCCUUUGUAAAAUUGUUAUAUUAAAAGAAUGGUAAAAAAAAAAACCCAUAAGAAUAAUAUUUAUCAUGAAGCCAAUAGAAGCAUCAAUCAAAAGUACAGAAGGGUACUUCCAUAUAUUAUGAAAAUGAUAAACCCUACCCACUUUUAUAUCAAACAUUGAAGUGGUUUAUUUUUCCUAUAAAAAAAAAGAGAAAAGAAUUUAUCAUUUGAAAUUCACCACAAAAAUAAAAAAUAAAAAAAAUGAAAAAAGCUAGGCUUCAAUAGUAUUUCUCAAUAGUUGAAACCUUCAAAGUAAUGAUUUAGGUUCAAUAAUAUCAUUCUACCAUUUACAACUUGUCAUUGACUCAUUAUGAGCCUCAGGGAUAGAAAUGAGACUUUGUCAACCUUCAUUAUUAUUGCUUUUUUACAUUACCUAGGAUGUGACUACAUCAGCAAAUAUUUACAUAAUUAAUCUAAUAUGUUACCUAGACAUGUUGAAAUAGUUUUUAAAGUAUCUAUUGAUGGUUAUAGGCAUAAUUCUUCACAUAAUUAGCAAAUGAUUUUUGCUUUUAACAUAAAAAUGGGAAAUGAACAAAGACAAAUAACUACUUUUUGUUUGAGUCGCAAAAAUGAUGCUUAGUGUCAAAUUGUUAAAUUUUCAAGUGUGGUAAUUGGAAAUAUAUUGAAUCUCUUCCAUGAAAAGACUCUAGUUUUAGAAUAAGCUAAAUAUUCAUUUGAUCUUAUGCGGAAAAACAUAAAUAUUAAAACACUAGAAAGAUGUUAAGCCUCUAAGCCAUAAUGUUGGAAAUUUUAAUAGAGUAUGUUCCUAUACCGAUGGAUAUAUUGGAUCCUUGAUGCUUUCAAUAUGAACAAAAAUUAAUGUCAUAUGCACAAAGAGAGAUACCCUUUUGUGUAGAUUGUUUAGAUGUAGAUGUAGUGGCAUGGAUAUCAACUCGGGGAAAUGAUACCAGUAUUAAGUGUUGUAAUUGUCACUUGCUUUGAGAGUGGUACUCACCAUUGACAUAUCUUGAAGUUUGUCAAACUAUUAUCUUCAAGAAUAGGAAAAAUAAUUCUAUCAAUCACCUUCAAUUGAAAGAAAGAAGAAAAAGAAUACUUGUUACUAAUAUUUUUUGUGCACUCUAGACCACUUAGAUUGCUAAGCUUGAGAAGCUUGAAAAAAGUGUUGACUAAAAUGUUAUACCAAUUCAAUAGAACAUGAAAAUCAAUGGAUCAAUGUUGCAAACAAAGUAUACUUUUUUUUAACAAACUAGUUGAGAAGUGAUACACAAUAAAGAAUAUCAAAGUUAGAAAAAGAGUAGAAAUUAUAAACUUGAACAAUGAAGUUUAUGACGGACAGUAACAAAAAAAUAAGAGAGCAUAAAUCACUAAUGCAAUUGAGCUAACCUUUUCCAUGGGUGUCACCCAUCCAUAGCUUGUCAACAUUUGCCUCUAGAGUAUUGAACAUUAAUGCUCAACCAAGACUAAGUAUUAUGUCUUUAGUAUUGGCAUUGAUACUGAAUUAAUUUGCAAAAAAAAAAUGAUUAAUCCAAGUACCUUUGUAAUCAAUGCUUAAUUAUUUCAAGUAAGAUAUUAUGGAGCAUUAACAAUUGAUUUCUUUUACCAAAAAGCCCAGGAGACUAUCUUCACUUCCAAGCAUAUCUACUCAUGUAUGCAUGUCCAACCUACAUGGCAUGGCUAGUCUUUAUUAGAACAAGACAACAAUCUUAACAUGAUGACUAUAAAAACAGUAAAGCAUGAAGCCAACAAAAAUGGUAAAUAUGGUUGGCAUUGCAAACUUGAAAUAUUUGACUGAAGGCAAACCUGAAUUAAAGAGAGCAUGAGUCUUUAAGCAUCGGUCUUCCCUUACCUAUCAAUAUAAAGAGAGCAUGAAGCAAACAAAAGGGUUUUCAACUUUCAAAUCAAAAUGCACAUGCACAACUCAACUAACUGCCUAAAAAUAGGAAGAUAAUUAAGAAAUUAAUAUUUAAAAUGAACUAAAAAAGAAUGAAUUUAAGCUUCAAUAGUAGUUCUUAAGAGUUGAAACCUAUAAACAAACACAAUUCAUACUUGAGUUUUCUCUGGAGAGAGAUAUCUAUUGUAAAAAGAGAAGGAAAUCAUCACCAUCUCAUGUUCUAUAAGAGAAUAUGAACAAAGAAGAAUAUAUUUAUAUAUCCUGAUUUAUAAACAUAUAAAAUCCUCAUAGACAAGACACUUGAAGAAAAACGCACUUGUGAACAGUGAUUUGAAAUAUGUGUCAUGCCCUUAAAGCUUUAUUGUUCUACUACCUAUAAGAAUCAAAAGAUGAAAAGUAAAAUAGAGUGUAACAAUCAAUAAUAAAACAUAAAGACACAAAAUGAGGAAGAGAUUGGAAUUGUAAACUUGAAUAAUAGAGUUGGUAAUGAGAACCUGAAUUGAGAGCAUAAAUCCUUAAUGCACUAACCAUGUAGUAACUAUGAAUGUGAGACAUGAGAAAUUUUUAGCCUAAUCCAAAACUUGUUUUAUUUUGGCAUCAAUUUUUUCAGUUAUUUUAAGCUAGGGUGAUAGAUGAUUGCAAGCAGUAGUUUCAAACAUACAAGCAACGUUCUUAAAACAUUUAUGACAUCAUCACCAUUAUCCAACAAAAGUAUUUCUUCUUAGAACAAAAAAACCUACCUUCUUAGGACAAUACAUGCUCAAUUCCCUAACACAAAUGUAAAUUUCCAAAUUCAUAAACAUAUCCUUAAGAUAACACAUAUACAACCUGUUGGUCUGUUGUAUGUGAGAAUUAAUAAAUCAUAACCAAAACCAAAGUUUUUAAAGGCGAAGGCGUAAGGUGAGGCAUUUUUGUGCCCAUGAGGCGAGGCGUAAGCCUCGAAGCGUUGAGGCGUAAGCCUUUUGAGACCCUUAUUUUAUAAUUAAUAAAUAUUUUACAAUAUAUAAAAAAUAAAAAUAAAAUAGCAUAAAUUAAAAACAUGAAAACAAUCCAUUAGAAUUAUAAAAAAAACCUUACUAGUUCCAUACUUUCACAAUAGGAAAUAAAGGCAACCAUACUAAUAGUUCCAAACAACCAUAACCAAGUCACAAAAUAUCAAAUAGAGUUUAACACAUAUUACUAGAACGUUUCAACUUAAAUCAUCCUCUCCAAUGUCAUCAUCAUCCUCGUCCAACGUAUCAAUAGUUGGAAAGUUCCCACUAUCAAACCCUCCCAACUCAUCUAAUUCCUCAUCUUCAUGAAUUGGUGUCAAAUUCAACUCCUUCUCUUUGCCUUUGCCUCCACUUUCACCUAACAUAAAGUAUAAAUUAGGUGUAAAUAUUAUAAGUUCAUUAAUAAAUUUAACAAAAUUUAUAACUUAAAUUUUGAGUACUUACUUGCAAAUUCAUCAUGUUUUCUUUUGUUGGAAUGUGAAGAAACCAUGUUGUCUGAUGAUGCUUGAGUCUCUUGGUUUUGGGAUGACACAAUUCUAAUAGCAUCAACAUUAAAUAGUUCAUUAUCUUCAAGCCAACAAAGAUCAAGCGGGAGGAGAGGAUCUUCUUUCUCCGUAAUCCACUCAUCAUCCGAAUCAAUCUCAUCUACCAAAAUCGAAUCAACAUUUUGUUUCCUUUGUAGACUUCGCUCUCUCAAUCUAGUGUUGUACCUCACAUACACUAGAGCAUUUAACCUCUUAUGUUCGAGUCUAUUUCUCUUUUUGGUAUGAAUCUACAAAUAAUAAUAUAAACAAAUUUAUAUAUUAAAAUUAAAUUAAAGUUCUCUAACAUUAGAAUAAAAAUGCAUAUACUAAAUUUUUUUAAAAAGUAGAAAUAUUACUAAUGCAAAAGUGCUCCAAUUUCUCUCACAUCCUGAAGCACUACAAGUGAGGCUAAGGACUUGAACAACAAACUUCUACAACUCCAGUGUGGAACCCCCAAAACUCAUCCACCAACUCGUAAGACUUCUUAAUCUUCGAGAAUCAAUUGCAAUUCGGCUUCCAAAUUCACCCAUUCUUGGUCAUAUGAAUCCAACUGAAUGUCAGCUUUUAAACGUUCUUGGUAAUCCAACAUCCUAUCCAUGCAUUCAAAUAAUCCCUUCCUCACCUCAUCCACAUCAGAGAACUUAUCUUCAUAGCGCAAUUGCAGAUUAACAUAAUAAAUCUGCUACAUGUAAAGGCUGAUGAAGUUGCGGAGUCCAUCUUGCAUCUAUUUUUCUCCAAAUUGGGUCAUAUUUCCUCUCCAUGCCCCCACAAUUAAAUGCAAUUUUCUCCUUGGCUAAAUCCAUCAACUCAUAAAUAUAACCCAUGGUUGGUCUUUCCUCUGAAUCAACAUCUCUUAAGACACUUACUAAUGGAAUAGUGGUCUUAAUACAAAAAGCAACAUGAAGCCAAAAAUUUGGAUCGAACAAUAUUGCACUUCGAGCUUUUACACCUUCUACCUUUUUGGCCCAUGUACUAGAACACCAUUUUUCAGAUGAGAACAUUGCUAUAAGAGCUUGUUUUUGCUUAUAAAGACUUUGGAGAGUAAGAAAUGUAGUAGCAAAUAGUGUAAUUGCUGGACGAAUGAGUUCAUGAUUUUUUGUAAAUGUUGUCAUCAAGCUAAGAACCCAAAUAUGCCCAUAUAUGAACUUCACCACUUGUCUAGCUCGCAAAAGUGUAUUAGUAUGAACAUUUCGCUUCCCAACAUCCUCCAACAUCAAAUCUAUGCAAUGAGCAGCACAAGGAGUCCACCACAAUCUUCUCCUCUUUUCCAUAAGCCUCAUUCCAGCAUUCACAUAAUUAGAUCAUUAUCAGUAAUAACUUGCACAACAUUCUUCUCUCCAAUUUCUUCAACCACCUCAUCAAGAUGCUUGAACAUCAAUUCUCCAUUUUUUAUCGUAUCAGAUGCAUCAAUUGAUUUCAAAAACCAUGUGCUAACAGGACUAUUUACUAAAAAAUUUAUAAGACAUCUACUCUUUCUAUCUGUCCAACUAUCUAACAUAAUUGAGCAUCCAUAUUGCUUCCAAGCUUUUUUGUGCUCUUCCAUCAUGAUAUUUAUAUCAUUCACCUCUUCUUUCAAAAUCCAUGUCCUCAAUUCAUGCAUAGCUGGAGGCUUAAACCCAGGCCUAAAAUUUGCAAUUGCAUCAACCAUAGGAACCCAAUAAGGAUCAUUCACUGUAUUAAAUGGGAGACAUUUUGAGUAUAUAAACCAACCAAUUUUUCUACACACUUCCUUUCUUCUAGUUUCCACUUAGAAUUCAAAGUACUUUGUCUAGGUUGUGAAAUUGUGAAUUUAUCCAUGGAUCCCCUAGGUAUAGGUUCCCCACUCCCAUUUACACUCCCACUACCACUUUCAUUACCACUACCACUCCCACUCUGCAAUGUCCCCAUUGUUUUAGAGAAAACACUCUCAUUUGGACCCACACCAAUUUCUUGGAGCAAUUCAUUUCUUUUUUAUUUUUGUUCCUUAUAAUUGCUCAAUGCCUCUUGGCAUUCCAGUCCUUCACUGAUUUUAGUACAUGGUUUCAUACCAUGAUGAGUUCCGGUAAGGUGAUGUUUUAGUCUAUUCACCCCUCCCGCGCAUAUUUGAUUACAAAACUUACAUCGUAUAUAAUUUUCCUCAGAGACUUCAAUAAUAUAUUUCCACACAAAAUCUUUUCGUGAAGCUUUCGAAUCGGAGGAACUCAUUCUAAAAAUUAAUAAUAACAAUAAUAAUUAAAUUUCAUUAUAUAAUUGACCUUAAAAAUAAUUAUAAAACAUAAUUGAAAUAUCAAACUAACAAUUAAAAAUUAAAAAUACAGCAAGAAAGAGUGAGAAAACAGUGUCGGGUGACUCUUUAAAACUUUAGUGUUGUGCAUUGUUUUAAAAAUGGUGCAGCAUCAUUUAACUUUAUUGCACUGUGCAUGCAUAAAUGUUGCUGCCAGGUGCAAUAAAUGCUAUUGGAAGCAAUAAAGGUUGUUGCUGGGUGCAAUUAAGGUUGUUUCAGGGUGCAAUAAAGUUGUUGUAGGGUCAACAAAGGUUGUUGUAGGGUCAAGAAAGGCUGCUGCAAGGAUUUAUUUGAGAUGGUUGUGAGGAAAAAAAAUGAAGGUCAAGAACCAGAGAAGAAAAAAUAGUGUCGUUGAAACUAUGAGAAGUUGGACAAAAAGAGUGAAAAACAGAGAGAGAGAGAGAGAAAAGAGGAGAUGAGAAGGUUGGGACUGUGUGAGACUAAGAGAGGGUGAGCAACAGAGAGAAAAGACCUACCUAUUGAGAAUCGAGAUGAAGUCGUCAGAGUGAGAAAGAGGAGUUGCCGAAGAAGAAGUCGAUCUUCAGGUUGCCGAAGAAGAAGUCGAUCUUCAGGUUGCCGAAGAAGAAGCUAAUCUUCAGGUCAUCGAAGGUACGAACCACGAAGAGCUAGGGUUAGGGUUAGGUUUCUCCCCCAACUUGUUCCCUUUGUUCCCUCUUCAGUCUUCAAUGUGUUUGCGGGGUUAUAAAGUCUUCAACGGUAAGUUGUUUCUAUUUUUUUUUUAUUAGCCACCUUAGCAAACCAAAGGCUCACGCUUUAGUGAGCAAGGCGUCAAAGGCAUUUCCUUUUGUGUUCAAUGUUGUUGUGCCAACGCCUUAAGGCGUUUUCUAGAUGCCUCGCCCUAGAGCGCGCCUCUAAGAGCGCCUUUCAAAACACUGACCAAAACCAUAGUGCAAUAGUUUUUAUCAAAUUAGUUGGGAAAAGAUAAUGACGACAUAUCAAAAGCAAAAUGAAAGGCCAAAAGCAUUAACCUAAAUAACAAAGACAUAUUAUGGAUGAGACACAAAUUGAAGAGAGGUUAGCUUGAGGAGUUGAUGGAAAUCCACAUGCAACAAUAUCCAUGCAUAGUUUUUCAACAUAAAUCUCUAGGACAUUAACUAAAAUUUGGUUGAUCUUCACCACAAUUCCUUUUAGAUUGGCCUAAAAUAUUUAAUAAGCUAAAUAACAAAGACAUAUUAUGGAGGAGACACAAAUUGAAGAGAGGUUAGCUUGAGGAGUUGAUGGAAAUCCACAUGCAACAAUAUCCAUGCAUAGUUUUUCAACAUAAAUCUCUAGGACAUUAACUAAAAUUUGGUUGAUCUUCACCACUAUUCCUUUUAGAUUGGCCUAAAAUAUUUAAUAAGCUAAGCACUUCACAAUCAUGGAAAAUUAAAGAUAAGAUAAAUUAUCUAUAUAAAUCUUUGAUGCUAUGUCUUGUAUAUGUCUUAUGAUCUCUAAUGUUGAUAAGAAUCAUAUUAUUAAACCCUUACAUAAUUUACUAGAGUACCAAAUCUUAUAAUGUGCAAAAAUCCUAUAUAGUAGUUGAUGAUUUUUUUAUUUACAAUUUCUAUAGUAUCUAUUUUAAGUGUUAAAUUAUAUAAUAUUAUAAUAGUUUGUAUGUUUUAUUAGGAGUAGCUAUGUGCACCCUUUUCUAAAUUAUGUGACAUUAACACUUCUAUAACUACUUUCAUUUAAUUUUAUUUUAUUUUUGUGUUAUUUAUAAUUUCCAUGAUUUUUUAAAUAAAGAUCAAAAUUUUGUAAAUGUUUUUUAUACUUCUAUUUAUAUCAAUAUUUUGUUCUUUGCUUACAUCUCUAAUAUAGAAAACAGUUGAGGCAACUAAUGGUCUCUCUCAGCCAUAUGAGUUUGUGAUAUUACUCAAGCUAGUAUAAGAAUGAUGCCCAAACUCAGGAAGGACAACAUGUAAUGGGUUUCUCAAGAACCCUAAAGCCUAUUUGGUAGUAAAUGUAAGAACAGAUUUUCCCAAGAUAUUUGCACCAUUAUCCCUUUGGCAGUAGGGACACUAAUUAAAUUUGUGAUAAAUUAUGUAAUCUAAGCCAGCAUUUCCAUAAAUUCUUGGAAUUCAAAACAUAAAAUAACAUGAUCAUUUUUUAUCCAUAACAUUAGAAAUUGGUUUGAAGAUGCACAAUUCUUAUUGUAUAAGCUAUCAAAUGUAUAAGGUGUAAAUAUAAAUAACAAAGCUAUCUUUUGCUUCAUAUGUUGUCUCAUGCCAUAAUUAUGAAAGUAGAAUAUAACAAGUGCAUAUUGAUUGUCAAAUAAUUAAAACAAGGCUAAAGAGAAUGAGAAGAAAAGUUGGAAUCUUAGACUUGAAAUGGCUUUAUGUAUUAGUAGAAUUUUCACAAAAAUAUAAAUUUUUGAGAUAUGAGCGAUCUUGUGUCAGACUUGACCAAUUCCUUUUGGCAUCUUUCCAAUAGACAUAGAUAAUUGUAGAUUUGAGUUUCUGGAGGGUGAUAAGGAAUGCAUCUCAUCCUGCAGUGAUGUCAAUUCAAAGAAAGAAUGAACUUGAAGCUCUAUGAGUUUAAGUGAUAGUAGUAUUGCAAAAGCAGAACAAUUGUCAAUUGUGAGUGUGGAUGGUGAUAACAUGUUGAGCACCUCCUUUUAGAGAGAUAUUACCAUUAUUGUUUGUGUACUCCAAAGCAUUCCAAUCCCAGAGGUCAAGAAACUCAAGUGAAGGGACGUAACUAGAUUGUCAUAUGAAUUGGUAAGAUGUGAAACUCACUCAAAUUGUUGGUGUUCUACUGCAUAUGAAUAUCAGAAAAAAUCAGAACUCCAAACAAAGUAGAUCAAUUUAAACAAAAUGAAUGGGAAGUAAUAAAUUAAAUAUUAAGAAUUCUUAACACGCUUGCAUAUGCAUAUGAGAAUCAGGAAAACAGAACUAUAGAAAAAGUAUAACACUCUUAUAACAUUGUAAAAUAAUAACAAGAAAAUUUGAAGCCAUCAAAAAAUAGGAAAAAGACUGCAUUGUAAACCUGAAACAUUGUUGAUGGCAUGCUCAAAUUAGAGAGACUAGGAGUAGUUUAUGAAUCAGCCAAUAUGAAUCAGCCAAUCUUUGCUAGUCGAUAUCUCAAGUGGGCCCUUUGGUGUAGUUCUAGAUUCUCUUGGAUAAAAAUUUGAACUGAAAUGAGCCUUAUUGCUCCAACCACUCCCCUAACCACAGGAUUUACACAUGGACAGGCUAACCCUUCCAUGUUUAUAUGACACUUAUAACACAAUUGCAGGAAUUAUAGAAAUCUUAGGCCAGUCUUAACCUUUUCCUUUUGUCAUGUUUCUAGUAAGUAUAACAACAGUGGAUUGUGACUUUUUGUAAAGUGCUCAUAGGCAGAUCCCUUCUCACCACCAUUUCAAUCAGAGCAGUUAGCAAUCUAAAGCCUCAAUUUUCAAGACAACUUAAGGCUUCAAGGGUUGUAAGACAAAGAAAUUAGGCUACCCCCUCCCCCCACUACCAUUUCAAUCAGAGCAGUUAGCCAUUUAAAGCCUCAAUUUUCAAGACAACUUAAGGCUUAAAGGGUUGUAAGACAGAAAAAUUAGGCUACCUCCCCUAUGCAUUUUCAAUAACGUGGGAGAAAUGAGGUGCUAGAUAGUAGGAGAUAUAUUAGUCUAUGACAAUUCUCACUUUCUAGUUACCUUAAAAGGUGAGGUGGCAACACUAGGAGACAUAUUAGAGAGUUGAGACAACUGCUUCAAUAUCCAGUUUUUCUUUGACUUGGCAACAAUUACAUCUCAAAUAAAAGUUAACCCAAAUUUCCAAAACUUGUAGAAUGGCGAACGAAGUAACAAGAUCUUAUAUUGACUUAUAGUCAUCCAGGUACAAAGCACUAGCAAGUUAUAUCUUUGAAGAUACAAAUUUCUAAAUUUACUAAUCUAAUGAAUUAAUGAAAGAGGUGAAAAAUGACAAAAAUUACACAAUUACUUUGUCCAAAAACUAUUAAUUAACAGAAUUAGACUCUUAACAGAUGUUGCUCAUUUUCAAUACUUGGUUAAUGAUUUCUAGCCAAACGAUCCCUAUAUUGCUCAUAAAGGGACAGUCCUAUACCUAAAAAAAAUUACAAAUAGGGUGGAAUAAUAAGGAAGUCUUUUGCCUAGUUUUGUUUGGUUAGAAUGACAUUUUAAAAAUAAUUAAAGGCAUAGUGAUAGACUUUUGUUUUGUCUAUGCUAAUACACAUAGGGAAAAGACAAGAGAACUACUCUACAAAAUUUACACUUAAUGUUUGUGACUUGUUCAAUUUGAUUACAGUCCUAGUAAAUAUGAGAAAUAACAAAUGAGCACAACAGUCUUAACAGAUUGAUAAUUAAAUUAAAAAAUAAUACAACCAUCCAUAGUGGGGAGAUUACCUAAAAUAUAUGGUACAAAGCAUCUAGGAUUGAAAAAGAUAGCAGGAAUUCUUUCUACAUCAGACAUCUAUAAAUAUGAAUUUCAGGGGAAUGAGAAAUGUUUAAGCCAGUUCAAAACUUGUUACCUUCUUGAAGUGCUUUCAAGCUCAAACAGGCUACUGUAGGGAGUGAUUUCACGUUGGGCCAAGGACUAAUCACAAGCUUCUUAAGUAAGGUGCAAUCUGUGACAAAAUACUAAAUAAAUCAACCUUAGCAUUUUCCUAAACACUCAGAAAGCAAAAAUUAAAGUAACAUAAUUACUUGGUACAUGGUAUAAGUAUUUGAUUGCAUAAAAUGCAAACAUAAAAAACAAAAUUGUUAUUUUCUAUACAUGCUAAUGAAUACAAAGAAUUAUCAAGGCAGAACUGUAAAUACAACAUACUGAUUGGAAAAUAGUAAAUAUGAAGCUAUAAAAAUGAGAUGACAUCUUGAGAAUUUAGACCUGAAGUAGCUUUCUGUACUAGUCUUUGUAGGGCGCUAAGGGAAUGCAUCUCUUCUGGCAGUGAUAUAAGGGCAAGAAUAAAUUCAAAGCUCCAUAGGUGCUAUAAGCCUGCAUAUCCAAUCUGGUAAUGUUAUCAAUUGAGACCAGUGAAGAAAGAGUCUGAUGCAAGUAAGAGAAGUCUUUACCUUUGCACCAACCCUCAAUAGCUUUUUUCCAAGGCAUGGGCAAUAUUCAGCCCAUCCUCACCAUCAUCCUUAUUUGCAAUGGCAUAUAAGAAACCAUUGGGCCAAUGAAUAACCAUGAGUUUCUUAAACAAGGUGAAAUCUGCAAGAAAAUAGUAAUCAAAUCAACCCUAGCAUUUUCCCGAACUCUUGUAAUGCAAAACUUAAAGAGUAAUAUGAUUAGCUUGGUCCUCAAUGACCAUUUAAUGACUUGUCUAAAUUGUACAUUGAUUUAAUGAUGCAAACCUUUCAACUUAGUGACUUCUUCAAAAUUAUAAUUUUAUCAAAUAAUUUGGCAGUAAAUAAUAAAAAUUGCAGCUAUUAAAAACAAGAAGAAACAUUGAAUUGUAAAACUGAAAUAUAUUGUAGAUGACAUGCUUGAAUUAAAGAAUAUCCUUCAUGAAUCAAUCAUCCAUUACCGGUCAGUAUCAAUUCUGGAAACAUUGAAAAACUGAGGAGCACAGUGAUUCAAAUUCAGGGCAGACAACAUUUUGUAGCUCAUUAAGAGAUCUUUGGAUGCUUAUCCAAUCUGAUAAAGUUGCUAAACAAGAACAGUAUUUUAAGAAUUUCCAGAAUGGUAACAUUUUGAGGCAUCAAUGAUGGAGGCACCAACUCAAGCUUCUGAGUCCUUGCAAUUUGCACGUGAACCUCAUCCCCAUUAUCUGACAAAAGAAGUUGCCUACAACAUUUAUUCAAGGUCUCAAAGUUAAUAUUGAAUCCACUGGUGGAGAUGUCCAAGCACUACCAUUAUCACUUUUUACAGCAAACUGAAAACAAUUAUGUGUAAUAAAACCAUUAACCUAUUCCAAACAUAAAAUAGAAAGAUCAUUUCAGCAAAGAAUUAUAAUAGUUAAUUUUAACCAUGAAAAUAAACAUCAUUAGUAAUUGAUAUCUUUAAAGAUAUGAUUUUCAAGCCAAACAAGUUCAACUAAAUUAUAAUACAUGAUGACUAAAUCAUAAUAUCAAUGGACUACUAUUUCUCUCUAUUCUAACGCUAUCAAUGGCUAACAUAAUAAUCAAGUGUAUUUAUCUAUGUUGUGUUUUGGUUUGAGUUGAUAUUGUAGAAAAUAGUAUAAAGCAUAGCAAUAGACUACCAUUUUGUCCAUCCUAAUACAUACACAGAGAGUAGAGAUAAGACAAGUAGUAUAGACAUUUUUUUCCUUUAUAUGAUCCAUUAAUAAAAAAAAUUAUCAAUGAGCAUAACACCCUUAACAUAUCGAUGGUAAAAUUUAUGAUGCUGCAGCCAUCCCUACUGGGAGAAGGAUUACCAGAAAUAUACAUGCCCACUAGCAGACCUGAAUUAAAAACAGAGCAAAAGUCCUUUCUGCACUAGUCAUCUAGUAGAUAUGUUUUUAUGGGCGAUGUGAAAUCUUUAGGGCAACCCAAGACUUGUCCCCUUUUAGCAUCCCUUUAGGCAUUAAGCCAAUCAUAAAGCUUCUUAAGGAAGGUGAAACCUGUGACAAUGGUUUAAAGAUGGAAAAAAAUUUUCAAACUUGCUGAUCUGAGCAGUUUAACAGAGCAAAUAUAAAGAAGUGACAAAGCAAAUGAAAAUAGGGCAUUCUGCAUGUAUGAUAAUAAAAUUGAAAAAAAAACUAGGGAAUUUCUGACCUGAAAUGACAUUCUGUAUAAGUUCACUCUUCACUAAUGCAGGUACAUGUUAAUUUAUAGGAUAUAAUCAAUCUUGGGCCAGUUCCCUUCGACAUCUUUCUGUAAGGUGCUCAUAAUUUUAUAUAUUAAGGUGUGCAAAUGAGGUGAGACUGCCAAUCCAAUGUGGUAAUGCUGUCAAACCACAAUAGUUGUAAAUUGAGAGACGUUGAAGAGUUGAAACAUGUCGAUGCAGCUCAUCUAGAAGAAAUAUCAAAAUCACAUAUCUUCUAUAUGGACAAAGACUCCAAUGGAGAAUCAAUAACAAGUAUUAACUGCCGCAAUACCUCUUCUCUCACUGUAGACAGUAGCAAUUUCUUAAGACAAGGUAACAAAGACACUUGCAAGGAUGUCUAGAAUAGAAAAAAGACUCUGAGCUCAGGGCAUUGCGAGAUCUUUAAACUAGAAAGAAGAGGAGAUGAAUGCAGUUCCAAGGACGCUAACUCCUUACAAUACUCGAUAUCUAAUUGUGAAAGAUAAGGAAAUGAAGGAGGUGGUUGUGUUGGUAACAUUUCCAGGCCCCAAUACCGGAGACACCAACUCAAGCUUCAUCUUCAUUAUCUAACAAAAGAAGCUCACUGCAACAUUUAUUCAAGGUAUCAAAGGUGAUGAAAUAUUGAAUCCCCUCGUAGAGAUGUCCAAGCUCCACCAUUAUCCCUUGUACAUUCAAUUGACAACAAUUACAUCUGCAAUAAAAUAGUUCAUCUAAGAAAUUUCCAAACAUGAAGAAUGCAAACACAAAAUAGCAAGAUCACUUUAGCAAGAAAUGAUGAGCUAAUUAUAAUUAUGAAAAGAGACAACAUUAAAAUUGACAUCUUUAAAGAUAAGAUUUUCAAACUUUACUAAAUUAUGAUAAAUGACAGCUAAAUCGUAAUAUCAAUGGACUACUCUGUUUUUGUCUAUGCUAAUGCUAUCAAUGGCUGACAUAAUAAUCAAGGGUUUUUGUCCAUGUUGUGUUUUGGUUAGAGUGAUAUUUUAGAAACUAGUACAAAUCAUAGCAAUAGACUACUAUUUUGUUUAUGCUAGUACAUACAUAGAAAGCAGAGAUAAGACAAGAAGUAUAAAAAAGUUUUGCUUGACAUGAUCCAUCAAUAACCAAAAUUAUAGAUGACUCUGACAUUCUUAAUAGAUCAAUAGCACAAAGUACAAACAAUGAUAAUGAUGAUGCAACCAUCAAAGGUCAGAGGAGGAUUUACUAAAAUUUACGUCUGAUAGCACACCUGAAUUGAAAAGAGAGGAAAGGUCUUUUUUUGCAUUGGUCAUGUAGUAGGAAUGAAUUUCUGGCAGUGAUUAAUCUCAAGGCAUGUAAAUGAUAUGAGGCUGCCUAACUAGAACAGUCCUAAAUGAUAAGUCUGCAGGGUAUUGAGGGAAUGCAUCUCUUCUAGUAGUAAUGUCAAUUAAUGGCAAGGAUGAAUUCAGAGCUCCAAAAGUAUUCAAAGGCUUCCUAUCUAGUCUGGUGAUUUUGUCAAUUAAGAGCAGAGGAGAGAGUAUGUUGUAAGUGAAUGGAGUCUUUUCCUUUUCACCAGCCCUCAAAAGCUUGUUCCCAAGGCACGGGCAAUAUUCAGCCCAUCUUCACCAUCAUCCUUUUUUACAUUGGGAUAUUAGACACCUUUGUGCCUAUGAACAAUCAGAAGUUCUUAAGCAAGGUAAAAUCUGCAAGAAAAUAUUGAUUAAAUCAACCCUAGCAUUUUGCCAAACUCUUAGAAUAUGAAACUUAAAGUAUAAUGAUUAGGUUGGUCCCAAACUACCAAUUAAUAACUUGUCUAUUGUACAUGAUUUGAUGAUGCAAAAUUUUCAAAAACUUAGUGAUCUAAAAUCAAACAUUAUAAAAAUUGAAGCUAUUAAAAACAAGACAGAACAUUGGAUUGCAAACCUGAAAUAUAUUGUCAAUGACAUGCUUCAAUUAAAGAACAAAAAUCCUAUAUGAAUCAGGUACCAUUGCUAGUCAAUAUCAAUUUUGGGAAAAUUGAAGUGUUGAGUGACACAUCCCUUCUGGCAGUGAUUGCAAUUCAAGGCCAACAGCAUUUUCAAGCUCAUUAAGAGAUGCCAGACUGUCUUCUAGUUUGAUUAAGUUGCAAAACUAGAGAAAUUGAUGAUUGUAAGGAUUUCCAGAAUGUUAACAUUUUGAAGCCCUAAUAGUGGAGGCACCAACUCCUUAUUUGACAAAAACGCUCUCUGCAAUAUUUAUUCAAGCUAUCAAAGGUGAUAAAAAAUUGCAUCCACUGAUAGAGAUGCCCAAGCCCCACCAUCAUCCCUUUUUUACAUUGAAUUUACAUCAAUGACAUCUGCAAUAAAAUAGUUAACUUGAGAAAUUUCCAAACACAAAAUAGCAAGAUCAUUUUGGCAAAACAGAACAAUGAAUUGAUAUCUUUAAAGAUACAUUUUUCAAAUUACUGUUACAUGCAUGCUUUCAGGCCACAAAAGUUCAACUAAAGUAUGAUACAUGACAACUAAAUUGUAAUAUCAAUGUAACAUUGUAUCCACUGAUAGAGAUGCCCAAGCCCCACCAUCAUCCCUUUUUACAUUGAAUUUACAGCAAUGACAUCUGCAAUAAAAUAGUUAACUUGAGAAAUUUCCAAACACAAAAUAGCAAGAUCAUUUUGGCAAAACAGAAUUAUGAAUUGAUAUCUUUAAAGAUACAUUUUUCAAAUUACUGUUACAUGCAUGCUUUCAGGUCACAAAAGUUCAACUAAAGUAUAAUACAUGACAACUAAAUUGUAAUAUCAAUGUAACAUUGUAUUUUCCCUAUGCUAACCCUAUCAAUGGUUGACAUAAUAAUCAAGUGUCUUCGUCUAUGUUGUGCUUCAAUUUGAGUGAUAUUUUAGAAAAUAGUAUAAAGCAUAGGAAUAUACCACUGUUUGGUUUAUGCUAAUACAUACACAAAGAUCAUAGAGAAGACAGAGAGUAGAAAAUCAAUGAUGAUGCAGUCGUUGAUGGUGGGAGAAGGAUUACCUGAAUUCAAAACAGAGAAAAAUUCCUUUUUGCAUGUGUCAUCUAAGAGAUAUAGCUUUCUGGGCCAUGUGAAAUUUUAGGCCAAUUCAAGACCGGUCUUCUUUGGGCUUUAGGUCAAUCAUAAGCUUCUUUAGGAAAGUAAAAUCUGAGACAAAUAAUAUUCAAAUCAGACAUCAGUAUUUCGUAAAACUCUUAGAAUGUAGAACUCCAAGUAAAAUGAUUAGUUUAGUACACAACACAAGCAAUUGGUUAGAUAGAAAUAAUUUUCAAACUUACUGAUCUGAGCAUUUUGACAAACAUAUGAUGUGCAAAUAUAAAAGCAAAAUGAAAACAAAGUAUUUUGCAUGUAAGAAAAUAAAAUUGAGAAGAAAGUUGUGGGAUUUUGCACCUGAAGGGCUUUCUGUAUCAAUUCAUUUCUUAUAAUCAUAGAUAUAAAUGUAUGGGAUAUGAGCAAUCUUAGGCCAGUCUUUACUAGUUCCCUUUCUACAUCUUUCUGCUAGGUGCUCACAUUAGAUAUAUGAAGGUUUGUAAGUGAGGUGAGGCUGCUUAUCCAGGGUGGUAACGUUGCCAAACCAAAACAUUCGCGAAUUUUUAGAUAUUGAAGAGUUGAAGCAUGUUCUACUUAGCUCAUGCGGGAGAAAUAUUAUUUCAUCUAUGAUGCAAAUAUACAGAGACUCCAAUGAAGAAGCAGUGACAAGCAUUAAUUAUCGUAAUACCUCCUCUCGCUUUAUGCAGUCCUAGUGUCUUAAGACAAGGUAACGAAGACACUUGCAAGGAUGUCAGCUUAGGGCAUUCCCAGAUGUAUAAACUAGAAAGAAGAGGGGUUGAACGCAGUUCCAAGGAUGCCAAGUCACCGCAAUUCCAGAUAUCUAAUUGUGAAAGAAGAGGAGAAGGAUGUUAGCUAGUAGACACCAUAGCCACCUAGUAGAUACAAAUAAUCACAAGCUGCUUAAGCCAUAUGAAAUCCAUGGGGAAAAGAGUAAUUAAAUCAGCCACGACAUUUUCCCAAGCUCUUAAAAUGCAAGAACCUAAAGUAAUGAUGGAAAAGGCUUGCAUUAUGUGUUAUAUGACUGUUACAUGUAUAACACAAGUGAUAUCUUGAACAACUAAAGGCACAUCAUAUGACUUUGGCUCCAAAUUUUCUCUUCAUAUGUACUAACAUUUUCUCUUAGCACUUUAACUGCAAUGUAAUAAAAAAAAUGAAGCCAUCAAAAAAGCAAAGAGAGUUUAGAUCAUGGUCUUGAAAUAACUAAAGAACCUAUGAGUCCAUGAAUUAGGUAAUAUCAAUAUGAGGAACAUAAGAGUGCUAAAGGUCAUAUCCAUCCAGGGCAGGCAGCAAAUUGUAGUUCAUUAAGAAAUGUGCAUGAAGUAGUCUUUUGCUAAACCAAAACAACUGAUGAUUUUUAUAAUUUCCAUAACGGUAACUGGUUGAAGCCGUAAUAGUAAAGACAACAACUCAAGCUUCUAACUCCUUGGGAUUAGCAUGCCAACCUCAUCCUCUUUAUAUAAUAAAUGAAGCUCUGUGCAAGAUUCAUUCUAGGAUCUUAAGGGUGAUGAAAUGUGCAAUCAAUUGAUACAAAGACAUUACUUUAUCUCGCCUUUGAAAUUUAAAAUACGUGAUAGAGUCAAGUGUGGAAGCCAUUGAUAUCAAAACAUUAGUCCAUGGAAACCCUCAAUUUUAGUUACUCAAGGAAGUUAAGUGUCCAAGCCACACAUGCUUAUCCCUUUCUGCAUUGACUAAAUCUGCGAUAAAAUACUUUACUGAAGAAAUUUCCAAAAUAUAGAAUGCAAAGAUAAAGUUUCUAAUUCCUUGGGAUUAGCAUGACAACUUCAUCCUCUUUAUAUAAAUGAUGAGGCUCUAAGCAACAUUCAUUUUAAACUCUUAAGAUGACAUAGAGAAUCUAUUGAUACAAAGACAUUAUGUUGUCGCAUCUCUGAAUUUUCAAAUACUUGAAAGAGUCGAGUAUGCUAGCCACUGAUACAGAAAUACUAGUCUAAGCAAACCCUUAAUUUCUAGUUACUAAAAGAAAGUCAAGUGUCUAAGCUCCAUGCUAUGAAGACAAUUACGUCUACAAUAACAUAGUUAAACUAUGAAAUUUCUCAAAUAUGAAAAAUGCACAAAAAAUGGACUUCUGUUUUGUCUGUGCUAAUAAACCCAGAGCAAAUACAAAGGAACAAAAUUUCUGCUUUACAUGUUUGUUGUCCUACACAAUAUGUUACUAUGAGAAUUAAAAAACCAAAUUUUAGUAAGUAUGACACUUUUAACUAAUCAGUAUCAAAAUAAAAGAUGAUGGAAGUGAGUUAUGGUAGAUUGCACACCUGAAUUUAAAAGGGAGUAGAUGUCUUUCCUACGUACAUUGGCCAUCUAUAUGAAUUUUUGGGCCAUGAAAAAUCCUUAGACCAAACUAAACUUUUGGCAGUGAUUUUAUGCUGGGGAAUUGAAGAAUGCAGGUAGUGAUUUCAAGGUGGGCCAAGGAAUAAUCAUAAACUUCUUAAGUAAGGUGGAUCUGCUGUAGUAACUAAAUCAAGGUCAAUCUAUGUAGUAUAACUUUGUACCGUCAGUAGCAAUCUUUAAGGUUCAUCAAAUGGAUAAGGUGCGAACGUAAAUAACAAAAUCAAAUUUUGCCUUAUAUGAGAAUAUAAUAUAAACUUUUGCUUCACAUGAAUAACCUAAAUAGAAUUCAUGUUGUUACAGGAUAUUGAUUGUAAAAAUAACAAAAACUAAAGCAACAAAGAAUGAAAAGAAAGGUACGUUUCAGACCUGAAAUGGCUUUCUGCAUCAGUUCGUUUCUGAACUAAUUUCUGAGACACGAGUAAUCUUGGGCCACUCAUUUCCCGAAUUGUUAACAAAUGAUUUCGACUGUGUAACGCCUCUCUUCCGGCAGUGAUGUCAAUUUAGGGCAUUUACAAAUUCGAAGCUCUUCAAGUGAGGAGAGGUUGCCUAUCCAAUCUGGUAACGUUGUCAAACCAGGCCAGUCGUGAAUUGUGAGACUCUUGAGGAUUCUAAAAGAGCACAAUUCCUCUGGCAGUGAUUGUCAAUGCAGGGCAAGGACCAAUUUCAAGAUCAGUUAACGAGGUGAGGCUGCCUAUCCAAUCUGGUAAUGUUGUCAAACCAGACCAGUCGUGAAUUGUGAGACUCUUGAGGAUUCCAAGAGAACGCAGUUCUUUUGGCAAUGAUGUCAAUUGAGAGUAAGAACAAAUUUCAAGGUCAGUCAGUGAGGUGAGGCCACCUAUCCAGUUUGGUGAUGAUGCUAAACCACAAGAGUAGUCAAUUGAGAGUGAACGUAGGUUGGUGAGGGAGCGCAUCUCUUGGGCCAAUGAUGUCAAUUCAGGGCAGUAUCCGAUUCCAAGCUCUGUAAGUGAGGUGAGGUUGCCUAUCCAGCGUGGUAUUGUUGCCAAACGAGAGCAGUCCCAAAUUUUGAGAGUUUGGAGAGUGGAAACAUGUUGACGAAGCUCGUCUGGCAGAGACAUCAAAUCAUCUAUGCUUUCAACAGACACAGACUCCAAUGAAGAAGCAGUAGCCAACAUCAACUCCCGUAGUACCACCUCUUUGACUUUACAUAGGUACAGCUUCUCAAGGCAGGGAGAUGGAGGAAAUAGUAAAGAUGUCAGUUGGGGGCAAUUCCUGAUGUCUAAACUAGAAAGAAGAGGAGACGAAUGCAGUUCCAAGGAUGCCAAGUCACCACAAUACCGAAUAUCUAAUUGCGAAAGAAGAGAAGGAGGCAGUCGCAGGGAUGUCAGCUUAGGACAUUGUGUAAUCUUUAACUUGGAAAGAAGAGGAGAUGAAUGCAGUUUCUUUUUCUCUAAUGUGUUUGGACAAAAAUAAUUUCUUUAAAACAAUAAUUUCAUAAAAUAAUUUGAUUCUCACGAUAAUUUCAAAACUAUUAUGUCUUAUUCCUUCGAAUAUAUAAAUUAUAUUAUUUUUAUUUUUAUAAUUAUUUUAAUUUCAAUAAUAUAUAAAUUAUAUAUUUAUGACGUCACUGAUUCGACCACGGUUCGAUCAGUGAACCUUGAACUAGUAACUUUUUCGAUUCAAUGAUCGGUCUGUUAUAAAAAGUGGAGGUGGAGGUGGAGGUGGAGGCGGAGGUGAAGGUGGAGAAAAUAGUCGGGGGCAAGCCCUAAUGUUUAAUUGUGAAGGAAUAGGAGAAGGCAGUCGCAGGGAUGUUAGCUUAUGACAUUCUUUAAUCUCUAACUUGGAAAGAAGAGGGGAUGAAUGUAGUUCCAAGGAUGCCAACUUAUCACAAUUUGUGAGUGUUAAUUCUAAAAGACAAGGAAAUGAAGGUGGGUGUGUUGGAGAUAAGUCCCUCCUCCACAACUCCUUUAACUUUGGCAUGCGCUCGAGUUCAAGGUACUCAAGUGAUGGGAAGAAUGGCCCUUCGGAUGAACAGUGGUCCAUGUACUCCACCUUUUCUAAACACUGAAGCUUCAGAGACUUGAGGUGAGGGAGUUCAACAAAUGGCGGUAGAAUCUGGCAUCCUAAACAACUUUUCAAAUUAAUUGUGCUGAGGUUAGGGAGUCUACAACUCAAACCACCAUUCAUCAUCCAACUUGGAAACCCCCUACCUCCAUAUCCUGUUAUAAAAAACUCCUUCAGGUUUCGAUGUGGUCGUAGGCCUACCAUCACUGACUCAGCAUCCUCACCCGAUUGAGCUUGAGCUUCUUCACCAUAUGACCAUUCUAAUUCCAAGGACUCGAUGUAUUGUUUUUCCCCCAAAUUUGCUUCCUCGGAUUCUACGUUAGCAUCCCUUACAUUUUCAAGCUUUUUAAUCCAUAGCUUUCCUCGAAGGUUGUUUAGCCUUUUCAAUUCACUCAAUCUGCCAACUUUACUCCCAGUUCCAAUAACAAACAGUGGUAGGCUUUCAAGCAAAGUCAACCUCCCUAUCCCACAUGGCAUAUAACUCAAACUUUCACACCUAUCAUUCUCCAAGUGCCUAAGAUUAAUCAAUUCCCUUAUGUCUUUGGGAAAUUCUUUUAGAUUUCUACAAUCCAUAAGUUUUAAUGUUUGCAAAUUAUAUAACCUUGUAAUAGCAUUUGGGAGUACCUUGAAAUCAUUGUAUGAAAGAUUGAGAUAUCUUAGAUGACUCAAUUUACCUAUAGAUUUUGGUAUCUUUUUUGCAACGAUUCCAGUUAGGCUCAACACACGGGAACACUUAAAAUUUGGAAUAAGUGUAUUAGGAAUUGAAUAAUUAGCUUCAACCCAUUUAUUAAAUUUCAAAAUGGUCCUUAUGUGUUUCAAAUCCUUCCAAUGGAUAUUCAACAUCAUAAAGAAUGACACAUGAUAAACUCUUUCUGAUAUCUUCUCGUUCUCCACAUUUUCUUUUAAAACAAGGAUUUCAGAUCCAACAAUAGAUUGUGCAAGAUCAUGUAUAAGAUCAUGCAUUUUACAACUUGAUAUAUUAUUAUAAACAUCUUUUUUAGCCUCCUCUAAUAAUGAUCUUGACAAAUAAUUCCUCAAAAUACCGAUCUCCUACAUAUGAAGCUUGAAUAUAUCCUUGUGCCAUCCACAAUUGCACCAACAAUUUUUUCUCAAUUUCAUAGUCUUUUGGAAAUAUUGCACAAUAAGCAAAACAUUGCUUCAAAUGGAAUGAUAGAUCAUCAUAGCUUAACUUGAGCACAGAUAAAGCCCUAUCAUUAUUUCCACCUUCCAAUAGCAACAAAUUUUCAUUGUUUCUAAUGGACAACCACGGACGUUCCUCAGUUUUAAAGCGCAAUAUUGCUCCUAGUGUUUUGAUGAUAAGAGGAACUCCAUUACACAUAUUCACAAUUUCUUUUCCAAUUCCUACAAGUCUUGGAUACAUUCUCUCUUGUCCUUCUUCAAAUGCUAUUUUUGAAAAUAAAUUCCAAGACUGGUUUUCUUUCAAACCUUUCAAAGAAAAAGGAAAAUGAUCAAUACCCAUAGUUGAUGCAACGUUUCUAUUUCGGGUGGUUACUAGAAUCUUACUCCCUUUAGCACCAACCAUCAACAAGGUCCUCAAUCUAUCCCAGUUUUGGAAGUCAUCAUUCCAAACAUCAUCAAGUACUAGCAAGUAUCUCUGCUGCCUUAGUUUUUCAUGAAGGGAAACUUUCAAAACUUCCAAUGACUCAGAUUUUUCUACAACUCCACUCAAGGAUUCCAAAAUUUUUUUAACCAGCAACUUUACGUCAAAAUCAUCAGAAACACAAAUCCAUAUCUUAGGCCCAAAAAAGUCUACCACUCUCUCAUCAUUAUAUACCAGCUGAGCAAGAGUGGUCUUGCCCAACCCCCCAAUUCCAAUAAUGGCAACAGCAGAAAGAUUUUUUUCAUUCCCAGAUGACACCAACAAUUUUAUUAUCUCUUCUUUAUCUUCAUCUCUUUCUACCAUUUCAGAGGUCAACACAAAUGAGUGAGUCUCUCUCCAACUACUCUCUACCUCCCUGUGAACUAUGUUCCCUUGAACAAGUUUUAGCAGAUCGAUUUCUUUUACAAUUUCAUCAACCUCUUCUUUGAUAUUCUUGACUCUACUACUCAUCUUAAAACGAUAUACAAGUUGAUUUGAAGAUGAGAAGAAGUCACUGACCUGCCUUGCUACUCCUCCACGCUGCAGCUGAUGGGUUGCAAAGUCAUCCAACAAGUCAUCAGCAUCAUACACGACAUCUUUGAGCCUCCUCACCCAAGUUUUUACUGCAUGGCUUUUCUCCUGCUUCUCCUCAGCAUCAAGAAGUACACCCCUGAUAGCGUCCAGUUUCUCCGUAAGCUUCGUUAACUCUUUUGCCACACCAAACGCAGAUCCAAUUUGUUGAAUAGCCGAGGAGCCUAACUUGGUUAAAACGUCAGCUAUAAUAUUGAAUGGGAUUUGUUCAGCCAUUUUUUGAAGAGCUGAAACAGGAGAAGACCAAGAAAGUAUGGUAAGAGAAGGAGAAGUUGAGAGAAUUGUAAGAGAGAAUACCACCAGACAAGCAGUGAUGAUAUAUCAUAUACACAGAGCUAGUGAGAGGACAAUAGAAGAAGAUGUAGUGGGCCUAAUAUGAUAUACUUUGAUUAGUCAAAAAGCAAUGUGAACUUAUCAUAUGCUCAUCAAAUAAUUUCUAGAAAGAGAUUUCAAUGUAUUAUGGUUAUAAAUAAAUAUGAGGCACGUGCUCUUCAAAUUUAUGAUUUUUAGGCAUGCAUUUUUACAUCACAUUAUGGCAUUAUUUUAUAUUGAUUAGUUACACUCCUUCUAUUAAGGAUGAAUUAAGAUAAGAUAAUUAUAUAUAUAAUUGGUCACUUGUUAAAGCUCAAAUAAAUUGGUGAUUUUAUAUAAAUAAAAUAAAAUAAAUAUUGAUGAUUGGAUUUUAUGAAUAGAAAUUAAUCAAAAACUUAUGAAAUAUUAAAAAUAUUUUACAAAAUAAGCAAUGAAGUAAUAAUACAGAUGUGGAAGUACAUGAUAAACCACAUAAAAUUAUAUCCAAUGAAAUCAAAUAUUAAACUAAUAUUUAAAUUGAAUUAAUUAAUUAUAGAGUUAUCUCAAUAAGUAAAUAAUUAAAUUUAUAAUAAUGAAGCAUAAACAAUGAAUUUAAAUUUAAUAUUAAAAAAAUUGAAUUAAUACUCAAAUUGAACAAUAGUCGUAAUUUACUGACAUACCUUAAGUAGUGGUUGUCGUUGAUUUGUAACAAAUCUGCAGCUUCAACGGUCUCAAAAUUAUAAAAUUUUGAGAGAAAAUGAGAAAAAAAGAAACAAUUGAUGCAAUAAUUAAUACGAGAUCAGGAUGGCUUUCAAGUGGAAUGGAGAGGAAAUGGAAUAGAGAUGAAAGCAUUUAUACUGGGAAUCAAAAUAGCCGUUGGGAAAUGUGUUUGAUUGUUGGAUCACAUUCAGAUCGAAAUCUGACCGUUGGAUCAUGAAGGAGCCGUUGAAAACCGUUCCUGACCAUUGGAUGGUAUCAGGGAUCAUUACGGCCGUUGGGAGGAGCGGGUCAACGUCUCCCUUGCGUGUAACAAAACACGUUUUUUUUUUUUAAUUAUCAUCUUAAAAAUCAAUUUCCAUAUUCAAUUGAAAAUUCAACUUUCAAUUGAUUUUUUUUCAACUACAAUAUAUUUAAAAAUAUUUUUUCAAUUAUCAUAUUUUUUUUUUUUUUAGAUUAUGAUAUUCUUUUAAAUCUCAUGUAUUAAGUAAAUAUAAAAUCUCAUACAAAAUGUAUUUUCAUCAUAAUUUACAUAUUUAUUUAUUUUGCCUGUUUCACGCUUUUUGAAGCUUCAAUCUUAAAAUUCCUUGAUUUAUUUUAGAGUUGAUUAAAUAUGAUAAGUUUAGGAUGAUGAGUGACACAUAUUCAUAUUUUUAUAAAUAUAAUGUUAUGAUUUUGUGAAAAUGUUAAUAAUGGUAAUAUUCUAGUAUCCUAUAUCAAUUAUGGAUGAAAAUUUCCAUAAAUUUCGAUAAAAUUUAGUCGAAAUAUCACGUUUCGAUAGUCAUGAAAAUGAAACAGGGGAUCAAAAUUUCAAAGGGCAUAAAUAUCCAAAAAAAUCGACAUGUUUUGCCGAAAUUCGGGCAUUUAUCGAUUAAUAUGUGAAAUAGGGAAAAUAUCUCUUGUUGGCAUUUUUUUGACAAAUUGUUGCCAACUCCAAUCAAACGCAGUCAAAGCUCACCUUGUUUUUUGCCCCCAGCUCCAACGCUGGUCAGACGAUCAAACGUGAUCAAAGCUCACUUUAUUUUCUGCUAAGUUGAGGAGUGCAACUCAUCUUAUUUUAAGUGGUGUAAUAUAUAUAUUAACUUUUAAAAUAUCUUAAUAUAUUUAUAUUAAAAGUUAUCCUAUAAACAAAAUAUUAAAAGAUAAUAAUUUUAUAAUCAAAUAAAAAUUUUUAUUUAAUUAAUUACUAAAAAUAUAAAAAUUAUCAUGAUGUUAGAAAAUAUGAGAAUUUAUCAGAUUAUAAGAACUUGUGGAUGAUCAUCCAUAUUGAUGUAUAUCUCUUUGUGACUUCCUAUAAAAGAAAGAUACCUCUAAUGAAAAUCUAUUUUAUUCUCUUCCAAUAUUCUAAUUUCUCUUUCUUAUUUUCUUCUCCUUUCACUUUAUAAUUUUACAACAUGUUAUCAGUACGAAUAGUCUUUAUAAAAGAAAUAUAAAGAUUUUUCUCUAUUCAAAGAAAUAAGAAAGGCGUUCUCUUUAGAGAAAUAGAAAGAUCUUCUCUCUUUCUUUCUCACAAAAAGGUAUGUGAUAAACUUAUAUCAUGAUUUUCUACUUUAUCACCAUUUGACUCUCUAUUUUCAUUUAUUUUAUUUGAAUAUAUAAAUUUGUACAAUCCCUAUAACCAGAAGUUAUGAGAUAAAUUAUAAAUUAUAAGAUAAAUUCAUAACCAUAAGUUAUGAAAAAUAUAUGCAAUCCCUAUAACCAGAAGUUAUAGAGAAAAUUAUAAAAUUACAAAUACAUGACUAGAAGUUACACCAAACAAUAUUAUAGUCAGAAGCUAUAAAGUAAAUAAUUAAAUAAAUGUUCAUAGCCUAAAACUAUGUACAAAUCUACAUAAUGAAAGUUUAUAGCCCGAAGCUAUGCACAAAUCUACCAAAUGAAUAGUUCAUAGCCUGAAAUUAUGAACAAAUUUAAAUAUUUUCUUGUUCUGACAAAAUAAUCAUGACCUGAAGCUAUGAAAGAUAUUAACUUUUAUUUUAUUUUUAAUUUCUUUUAAUUAUAUUGUGUAACUAGAAGUUAUACAUAAAUAGUUCAUAGCUUGAAGCUAUGUACAAAUUUGCAUAUUUUCUUGUUUUUGAAAAAAUGAUCAUAAUUCAAAGUUAUGAAAAAUAUUGGCUUUUAAUUUUUUAUUUUGUACUCACUUAUUUUUCACAACAGGAAUUAUGGAAAACAAUUUUUAUUAACAAUAGUUUCAUAACCAGAAGCUAUGCAUAGAAUUUCUAAUUCUCUUGUAUAACUAGAAGUUAUUCAAAACAAAAUUGUCAAUGAAUCUUGGAGUUAUGAUCAAAGAAAGAAAUCAAGCAUCCCUGUAGGAUUGCGUAAAAACACUAGUUUUCCUUCGUCAUCAUCUCCAUGAAGGUUUAACAAAAAAAAAGUUUUUGAUGAGAAAUCACCAGUCUCGUCCAACUAGAUCUGAAUCAUUCCCUGGAGUGAAUGUAAUAUUGUCCCAAACUCGUGGACGAUGACGAGGACGUGGUCGUGAUCGUGGAAGAAAUUCCCGAUACCAUGGUUCUUGUAGUAUUAAUUCACCAAAUUCUCAGAAAAUGAAAGCCUCAUUGCACCACUAGAAGUGGAAUAAUACUGAGGUAAAACAAGAAAAUGAGAAGUGUUUAUAAGAUAAACCUCCUAAGAACUAUGAGAAUAAGUGUUAUAGAUGUAGUAUGAAGGGACAUUGGUCGCGUACUUGUUGUACGCUCAAACAUUUGGUUGACGUUUACCAAGCAUCAAUAAAAGGAAAGGAAGUUGAAAUGAACUUCAUUGAUAGUAAUGACCAAGUGGAUCUAACCCAUUUAGAUGUUUCGGAUUUCUUUGAGAAUCCUAAUGAGAAAAUUGACCAUCUAAUUGGUGAUGGAAAUGUUUGUUAUGAUUAAACGUUAUGUUUUUAUUUAGUUCUUUGCAAAUAUGUUUACUUUGUUAUCAUUUUUUAACACAUUGUUUAUUGUUAAUAUUUUAUAGUUUAUUUCACAUUUUAUUAUUUAUCAUUUAAAUUCUUUUCUUUAUUUAUACUUGAAGGUACAUGGAUCUCUCUCAUACCUUGAUCCAUCAUUACAAUUAGUUUGAUUAUUGAAAUACUUCCUAGUUAUUUCAUGUAUAAAUUGCUCCACACUUACAAAAUCAAAUGUGUGAGAUACUUACAAAAUAUAUAACUUUAAAUUAUCUUUUCAUAUUUGUUUUAUUGUGUUAUAUAUGCUCUCAUUGCUUUUACAUAACUUAUUAAGUUAAGUUAUCAUUGAUAACUAAUAUUUUUCCAUUGAUUUUAACUUUUUCUCUAUGAUAAUAUUUAUUUAACUCUAUAAAGACGAAGUCUUUAUGACAAUUUUUUAUGACUUGUUACUUUGAUGAAACUCUUAUUUCAUUAAUUGCACAACAUUGAUGACAAACAAUGCUAAUACUACAUUAGAUAAUAGAAACCUAAUUAAAGGCUCCAGAAGAGUUUAUACUAUGUCACUAGUAGUAUUUGAUUCCAUGUGAAUGACAUUUUAUACAAUGAUAGAUCCAAAAGAAUCUUUUAAGACCCACUUGGUCCCCCGGGAUAAAAGGUUAUAUGAAUGUACAUUACAAAACCAGAAGUUUUUAUUUAGUGACUAGUCUACCUAUACACUUAAAAGCUAAAAUGACAUGUUGUGUAGAUUAUCAUUUUAAUGAGACAAUUUUUAAGCUUAACCAUCAUCAAAUCCUGAGAAGAUCUAUGCAUGCGGUUUCUCUUAUAUAUUGAGCUUAACCAUUCAUUCCUAUUCAAGCUUUUUUCAUCUUGCUGACCCUAGAAAAUUAUAUGGAUAUAUCUUAACAGUUGAGUAUUUUCUUAUGACAUCUACAAUGAAGAUCCAACUUUCCUUCUCUCUUUCUCUCUCUCUCAUAACUAUCUUUUUGUAAAUAUGCAGAAAAUAGCUGAACUGUUACAGACAAAGAGUGGUAUUUCUUUUGCAGAAGAGGGAGAAAAUAUAGGAAUAGCGUAAGACUCAAUAGAGUCACGGGGUCUGGAUUUUGGAAAACAACCGGCGUAGACAAGCCAAUAUAUUCUGUUGAAGGACACAGCCGUGGUGGUGACUGCAUUUGGUUAAAGAAAUCAUUAGUAUACUAUUGUGGAAGUACAGGAAAAGGCACCAAAUCUGAUUGCAUGAUGCAUGAGUUCCGCCUCCCCGCAGACCAGAAAAAUGCUACUCUCCCCACUGCCAAGGCUGCUGAUCAAGAAGCUGUAAGAAAAAAACAGUUCCCAAAUAUAUAUGUACCAUUGAAUUUACCAUUUCCUCAAAAUCUCUAGUACGUUGGUUAAUUUUGUGUUAUGCUUUGUGGGAUUGUAGGAAGUAUGGACACUUUGUCGAAUUUUUAAGCGAAAUGUGCCACAUAGAAGGUACACACCAGAUUGGAGAGAAGUACCUGCUAAACGCAACCCAACGAAUUCAAAACCUAAAACAUGUGAUAUGAGUCCAGAAAAUUGGGAAGGCUACGUUAGUUCUGGGGCUCCAGUUUCUCUUCAUAAAGGGAAGAAGCCUGUUGGUAGUCACAUUUAUGAAGGGAACCCACUGCCCGCAGGCCAGGUGAGCUCGAUUGUUCAAGGUUCACAACCAGAGUCAUGUUCAUCAAGCAUUUUGAGUAACGAUGCUAGGGAGUUCUUUGCACAUGGAAAUUGGGGUGAGAUCGUAUCAGUCAUGGAGCUUUCUUUUGAUCCAUCAUCUGUGAAUAAUUUUAAAAUUAUGCAUUAGUACUGAAUUUCAGUUACAUAUGGUCUUCAACUGGGGGUGCAGAUUACUGUUUGAUGUAUGCAUAAAACUAAUUUCGUGGUUGAAUAUUGCUCUCUUUCUAGUAACUUACUGUUCAUCAUCUUUAGCAGAAUUAGUGUGGUCAUAUUGGGAAAAUUAAUUUAUGGAAAUCAUGGUCACCACACAAGUUGAUAGAUUUUGAGGCUGCUGGGGUUUCAAGAUUGGAUUUGGGGGCUGAUUUAAUAAUGUAAACCUACCAACACCUUGGCCCUGAUCAGUGGCCGGCUUCACCAUCUAGCUGUUAGAAACAUAAAUAGCUCUAGGUUUAGUUAUAAAGUCAACACACACACACAUAAAUAGCUCUAGGUUUAGUUAUAUAGUCAAAACACACACACACACAGAUAGAUACACAAACAGAUAGAUGUAUAUGUAUACUGACAUAGGAUGCUACAGUAUUUUUCUUGGUAUUUCUAUAUUUUCAUUAUUUACUGUGUAUCUUAAUGGGAUUAAUCAUAAUGCCUUCUUAAAUUUCUAAAAUUUUUGGUGUCUUGUAUAUUUUUCUUAUCUUUCAUUAGUCACACUCAAUGAUUAAAAUAUUGAAAUAACGAAAAUAUCAAUCCUUAGGUUUUACAUAAAAAUCAUAAAUAUCAUAAAUAUUGAUGAAAAUUUUGAAAAAAAAACUUGAUAAAAUGAAAAUUAAUCAAAAUUUAUAUAAAUAUUAUAAAUUUUUUUAAGAAAUAAUAAAAAUAAUAAUAUAAAUAGUAAAGUUGUUUUACUAGAAAAAAUAUUGCAUAGAUAUAUUGAUAUAAAAAAAGAAGAUGAUUUAUGUAAUUUUUUUUUUGUUUAAAAAUGCUUAUGACUUAUUUAUUAGUUUAUAUUUAUAUACAUUUUUUUAUUGUAAAAUUAUUCAUUAUAAAAAUUAUCACCAUGUUUUUAUAUCAUGAGAUAAUUAAAAUUAAUUGAUUUAUCUAAAUUUUAUUUUUAUAUUUAAGUGGUUUUGGAAAAGCUUUAAUUGACACAAUCAGCAUAUAUUUAAUAUAUGUGAUUAUAAAUAAUUAAGGGCAACUUGCCCUAGUGGCAAGGGUUACGUUUUACAUACCCAAGGUGGGCUGAAGCAGUGGCUUGUUUUUUGAAUGUGGAAAGAGGAGGAAAAAAAUAUGGUCACACGGGCUGAGCAGGUACCAUAGUGGGAAAGAGACUGAUGGAGCAAUGAUGCAUGGAGAUGGUGGGUCAUGGGUUGCCAAUUAUGGUUUUCCUAUAGAGGCAGUAGUUACGUACAUUUAUAAAUUUAUUAACUAUUAUUUAUCAAAAUUAAUUUAUAAUUUGGUUUGAUCUUGUAUGCGAAAUAACAUUGAAUCAUAAUAUAAUGUGAUUGCAUUAUUUAAUUAUAUUGACAAUUUUAUUUCAUUCAUGGACCUUGCGUAUUUUUAUAUGAUUUAUACUAUUUUUAUAAAAUCAAGGUUGCUGCAGAAUUAACUUGGAUUACACAAAUAGGUAUGAUUAAGUUAAUUGAAGAUAAUGACAUAAAAAUUAAAUUGUAUAGAAAUUAAAAAUAUAAUUAUUUUGGAAACAAAUUUUUAUGUACAUAUUGUAUAUCAAGGAAAAGGAAAAUAGAUAUUUAAAAAAAUUUAAAAUAGAAAUUUUAAGCGUUUCCAGUAGAUAUGGUCACACGGGCUGAGCAGGUACCAUAAGCACCCUUAAGGGCCGCUCAAGCGUAAGCUGCGCUCAAGCACCCUCAAUGGCCACUUAAGCGUUUCCAAUACUCAAGCAACCUUACUAGGAGCUUAAUGUCACGGACUUAGUCGUUUCCUAAGCUCGUGCGGCACUUAGGCAAAUCAAGACACUUGAUCUUGCUAAGUCAGCCUUACCCCCGACACUUAGCUUGCUAGGCUAAGAUGCUCACGACUCGGAAGCUUGAGAAGUUGUAGGAGGCAACUUUUAAAUAAUGGAAGCUCUUAUUACUCAAGGAAGCCUUUACAAGUGUUUGGAAGCUCACUUGCUUGGUGCCUUGGCCAAAUGAGGCCCUCACCUAUUUAUAGGCACCAAUGGAACUCUCUAGAACCUUGGAGGGUUUCUUACAACUCAAGACUAUUCUAGAAUGUUCUAGGUACAAGCCUAUAUACAAGUAUAUACAAGAGUCUUCUAGAUUUCUCUAGAAAGCCCCGGACUCCUCUCGUGCCUUCCACCAUGGUGUAGAAUUGUGUGGAUUCCUCCAGACUUCUCUAGAACCUUCCACACUCUUCCCACUCUAGGAGUCUCCAGAAGCUUCCUGACUCUAUAUAAGGCCAUGGGGAGGCUCAUUUGGAUCAGCUUGUGACACUCUCCCCCACCUAUGCCGCAGACGUCCUCGUCGCGCCUUCUGCCCGGAAUCGCUCGAUCUGCUCCUGGAACUGCCAUAGUGCCUUUGCUGGCUCCCAGCUAGCCUCGCUUUCUGGUAGUCCCUUCCAUUUCACUAAGUAUUCCGUAGUAGGAGGUACCCCUCGUCUCCUGAUGACCCGAUCUGCGAGGACGUGUUCUACCUCCUUAUCAUAGGAGGUCACGACCGCUGUAGGUGCCCUCUUAGACAACCCUCGGCUUGGAUCAUCCUUGUCUCCGUGAUAGGGCUUCAAGUAGCUUGCAUGGAAAACAGGAUGAAUCUUCAACCUCGGGGGCAGCUCGACUCUAUAGGACACCUUGCCGACCUUCCCAAGUAUGGGGAAGGGUCCUUCAUACCUCCUCACAAGGCCCUUAUGCACCGGCCUUAGGGACUUGAAUUGUUGAGGAAGGAGCUUGACAAGCACCAUGUCUCCUACCUUAUGCUCCGUGUGUCGUCGCUUCUUGUCAGCCCACUUCUUCAUUUUCUUAGCGGCCUUGUCCAAGUAUGAGCGCGCUAUGUCAGCUUGCUCGUGCCACCCUUUCGCGAACUUGAAAGCCGCUGGACUUCUCCCCGUAUAGCCAAUCGUUAGAGUGUGAGGAGUUAACGGUUGCUGCCAUGUGGCUAGCUCGAACGAACUCUUGUUGGUCGCCUCACUCCUUUGUAGGUUGUAUGAGAAUUGGGCUAUAUCUAGCAACCUAGUCCAAUCCUUCUGGUUGGCACUCACGAAGUGCCUCAAGUACAGCUCCAAUAAAGCGUUCACCCUCUCGGUCUGCCCAUCCGUCUGUGGGUGAAAGCUUGUGGAGAAGUGAAGCUCCGAACCCAUAAGCUUGAAGAGCUCCGUCCAAAACUUCCCAAUGAAACGCGGAUCGUGAUCACUGAUGAUGAACUUCGGCAAUCCCCAAUACUUGACUACGUGCUUUAGGAAUAGCCUCGCCGUCUCUUCCGCAGUGCAGUCAGUCAGGACUGCUAUGAAGGUUGCAUACUUAGUGAACCUGUCCACCACCACUAUGAUAGAGCCACUGUCCUCCGACUUAGGUAACCCGAUAAUGAAGUCCAUGGUGACGCUGUCCCAUGGGCGUUCUGCUACAGGUAGUGGCUCUAACAGGCCUCUAGGUUGUCGCUGCUCCACCUUGUCUUGUUGGCACACAAUACAAGUCCUCACAUAGGCCUCAAACUCAUCCCGUAUUUGAGGCCAGUAGUAAGCCGACUCGAGUAGUGCCCUAGUGCGUCGUUGCCCAGGGUGCCCUGCCCACUUGGUGUCAUGGCACUCCUUAAUCAGGUUCCGCCUUAUGUUCCCCCACUUAGGCACGUAGAGUCGUCUCCCUUUUGUGUAGAGUAGGCCGUCCUCCACCCAAAACCGCUUAGUCUUUCCUUCAUGAGCCAGGGCGAUGAGGCUCUUAGCCACUGGAUCAUGUUGCAAUCCCUUCCUUAGAAGAUCCAUUAUGUCUCCUUGGGGCUGACUCGUUAUGGACGCUAGCUCGGCUUUGCGACUUAGGGUGUCGGCCACAUGAUUAGCACUUCCUGGCUUAUACUCCAGCGUAUAGUCGAACUCAGCCAGGAAUUCUUGCCACCUAGCUUGUUUAGGACUCAGCUUCUUCUGUGUCUGGAAGUAGCUAGUGGCCACAUUGUCGGUCUUCACUAUGAAGUGAGACCCUAGCAAAUAGUGCCUCCAGGUGCGCAAGCAGUGAACGAUAGCGGUCAUCUCAUUUUCUUGCACCGUGUAACGCCUCUCCGCGUCGUUUAGCUUGCGACUCUCAAAUGCAAUUGGGUGCCUUUCUUGCAUAAGGACUCCCCCAAUAGCGAAGUCUGAGGCAUCUGUGUGUACCUCAAAGACCUUGGUGUGGUCGGAUAGUGCAAACACUGGCUCCUCAGUCAUAGCCUUCUUUAGAUCCUCAAAGGCUUGUUGGCACCUUCCAUCCCAUUCCCAUGCCUUAUUCUUUUUAAGAAGAUCAGUGAGUGGAGCGGCCCUUCCCGAAUAACCCUUUAUGAAUCGCCGGUAGUAAUUAACUAAACCAAGGAAAGAUCUGAGUUGAGGUACCUUGGUUGGUGGAUCCCACUCCUGGAUGGUUUUCACCUUGCUAUCAUCCAUCAUCAGCUUGCCAUCCCUGAUGCGAUGCCCUAGGAAGCUCACUUCCUCCUUAGCAAACGAGCACUUCUCUUUCUUUACGUAUAGCUCGUUCUGCCUCAAGAUCUUAAAGACCUUCCUCAAGUGCUCUUUGUGCUCCUUUAGAGUGUUACUAUAGAUGACUAUGUCAUCCAAGUACACCACCACAAACUUGUCCAAGUAUGGGUGGAAGAUCUUGUUCAUGAGGGUGCAGAACGUUGAUGGGGCAUUGGUGAGUCCGAAAGGCAUUACUAAGAACUCAUAUGAGCCAUACCUGGUCACACAUGUAGUCUUCGGCUCAUCUCCCUCCGCGAUCCUGACUUGGUAGUAGCCUGACCAUAAAUCCAGCUUCGUGAAGUACCUUGCCCUUCCAAGUUGAUCGAACAAGUCAGCAAUGAGCGGGAUGAGAUACUUGUUCUUCACCGUCACCUUGUUGAGUGCCCGGUAGUCAAUACACAUCCGUAGGGAUCCAUCGUGUUUCUUUUGAAACAAGACCGGCGCGCCAUAGGGAGCCUUGGAUGGUUGGAUGAACCCCGCGUCUAGCAACUCUUUAAGUUGUCUCCUUAGUUCCUCCAACUCAGGUGGUGCCAUCCUAUAUGGCCCCAUAGCAGGGGGCUUGGCUCCCGACUCCAGCUCAAUCUUGUGAUCUUCCUCUCUCCUAGGAAGAAGUCUCUUAGGCAACUCGGGCGGCAUCACAUCCUUGAACUCAUCAAGGACCCCCUUGAUUUCUUUAGGCAUGGGUUCUCCCGACCCAUCAUCCUUUUCUUCCUUUAGGGUGGCGAGGUAGGUCACCUCUUCCCUCUUUAACCCCUUCUUUACUUGCAUAGCGGAUAACAUAGGGGUCUUGAGCGUACUUUCAGUGACCAUAGGGACCAUGCAUGGCUUCUCCUCCUCUAGGAUAGCCAUUGAGCGUAGGAAAGGUAGUGGCACGGCUUUGACCUUCUGUAGGAAGUCCAUUCCUAACACCAUCUUGAAGUCGUCCAUGGGUGCCACUGUGAAGUCGACCCUUCCUUCCCACGAACCGAUGUGCAUAGUCACCCCGCGAGCUACUCCAUGUGAUGGCUUGGCGGCUGAAUUGACUGCCUUGAGCCAUCCUCCUUCCUUGGAUGCUUGGAGCUCCAGCCUUCUUGCCUCAUCCUCCGAGACAAAGUUGUGAGUGGCACCUGUGUCCACCAGGGCCUUGGUGGCCUUCCCAUUCACCAAGGCCUCCACAUACAUCAGCCCUUUGCUUUGAGGCGUCUUAGGCAUCGGCUUGGCCUUAAGGGCAUUUAGGAGCUGCAACGAUCCCAUCUUAGCAUCGCCUUCCUGCUCCUUCUCCUCGAUCAUAACAUUUAAAGCCUUCCUCUUAGGGCAGUCCCGUGCCCAGUGUGGACCAUCGCACAUGAAGCAAUUGGUCCUAGGCGUGAACUCCUUUCGCUUGUCCUUGCCUUUGCCAUCCUUGCCACUAGGGCCUUUGCUUGAUCCUUCCUUAGAGGUAUGGCCUUGCGACCUCUUGUCUCCCCCGCCUUUGGCCUGGUUACCCUUAGAUGGUGGCUUGGGCUUGGAGGAGUCUCCCCUUCUAUAAUCCACUAAGGAUUCGGCUACUGCCAUGGCCGUGGCUAGGUCUUGGACACCACGUCUCCUCAACUCUUGCUCGGCCCAGCUUUGCAAGUUGUCCAUGAAGUUGAACAGCAGCUCCUCCUCAGCCAUGUUAGGUAUCUCAAGCAUAAGAGUAGAGAAUUCUUUGACAUACUCACGGAUCGAGCCCGUGUGCUUGAGACGCUUCAAACUCUUCCUUGCUAGGUAAGCCACGUCUUCGGGGUAGAAUUGCCUCUUGAUUUCUCUCUUAAAGGCAUCCCAUGUGUCUAUGGUGCACGUCCCUCUCUCUAUGUCGGCAAACCGUCGACGCCACCAUAGAGUAGCAUUAUCAAUGAGGUAAAGGGUCGCGGUGCGUACCUUAGUGGCUUCAUCCAUUAGUGCGAUGGCCUCAAAGUAGCGCUCCAUGUGCCACAAGAAGUUAUCUAACUCCUUAGCAUCCCUCUUGCCACUGAACGCGUGUGGCUUGGGCACCUCCACCCUUGGUGCCUCAUGAGUGGCCAUGACUCGUGCUGAUACAGCGGUCUUAUAGAUGGCCAGCUCUUGUCGAAUCUCUUGGUCUCGGGCCUCCAUGCGUGCAGUCAAGGCCUCCAUCCUUGACUCCACACUAGCGAACAUGCUCAUGACCUUGUCUUGGAAGGACAUGAACUCCUCGUGUGACACCGGCUGAACUUGCGAGACCAGCACCCCCUCGCGAAGGUCUUGGAUCUGCUCCCUUAGAUCCUCUGAGCCCUUCUCCAUGCCUUGCUCGAUCAAGUCCACCCCUUCCCAGGUGUCUGCCAUGGCUAGCUCCACCUUGGCUAACCUUGCCUCCAUGUUGGCAACAACAUCACGAGAUGUAUCCUUCUUACCUCUACCCCUAUCCCGUGCAGUAGGCUCGGCCUCCCUCCCACGGGUUUGUUCGCUAGUCUCCUCCACGUUAAAGCCCGACAUGCUUCCCUUAUGCCCGCUUCGUAGCCGCGCUCUGAUACCACUUGUCACGGACUUAGUCAUUUCCUAAGCUCGUGCGGCACUUAGGCAAAUCAAGACACUUGAUCUUGCUAAGUCAGCCUUACCCCUGACACUUAGCUUGCUAGGCUAAGAUGCUCACGACUCGGAAGCUUGAGAAGUUGUAGGAGGCAACUUUUAAAUAAUGGAAGCUCUUAUUACUCAAGGAAGCCUUUACAAGUGCUUAGAAGCUCACUUGCUUGGUGCCUUGGCCAAAUGAGGCCCUCACCUAUUUAUAGGCACCAAUGGAACUCUCUAGAACCUUGGAGGGUUCCUUACAACUCAAGACUAUUCUAGAAUGUUCUAGGUACAAGCCUAUAUACAAGUAUAUACAAGAGUCUUCUAGAUUUCUCUAGAAAGCCCCGAACUCCUCUCGUGCCUUCCACCAUGGUGUAGAAUUGUGUGGAUUCCUCCAGACUUCUCUAGAACCUUCCACACUCUUCCCACUCUAGGAGUUUCCAGAAGCUUCCUGGCUCUAUAUAAGGCCAUGGGGAGGCUCAUUUGGAUCAGCUUGUGACAUUAAGCAUUCCCAGCACGCUGUGCUGAAGCGCCCCCAAUUGCCACUUGAGCGUUUCCAACACUCAAGCAAGGUACCAAAUGCUUGAGCACUCGACAUCCUAACCCCUGAAGGCUAAAUCCAUCCAUUUCCUCCACGAACUCAACCAUCCUUACCAAGUCCAAGUUACCUCUUAUAUUUUGUUUUGUAGCUAACAAAUAUAUAAAAACUAAGGAAUAAAAAAUGUGCCCUAAAGUAAUCAACGGAGCUAAAUUUCAAAAGCCAUCUGAAUGCAUUUAUGUGGGUACUGUACUAAUGAUGUAGUAAUAAGUUUGACCUUAUAAAUUAAGAAGAGUGGAGCAAUAUUGAAAGGAACUUACACUAGGUGUUGAAAAGAAAGAUUAAGCAACAUCUGAUCUCCUUUUAAAUUCUCAAAUUUAAAAUUAUUUUUCAAAAUAAUUUUAUUAUUUGGAAAACAAUUCUUUUUAAAUUAUCAAUUUAAAGUUAUUUUCAAAUUAAUGUUAUUUCUAAUUUUCAUGUAAAUCCAUGACUUUUUUUUUCUCAAUCAUUGAACCAUACUUAUUUAUUUAAUCCCAAGUUGAUUCUAUGGCAAGUUUGAAUCUUCAAAUGAAUGUAAAUUAUAAAAAAGUACACAAAGUCCUAAAUUAGGAUGAUGGGAAUAAAAUUUUCAACUUAACAAAAAUAGUUUAUUAAGUUGUACUUCAAAAUUUGGAUGAUCUUAUGUUAUAUUGUUUAUUUCCCUUUCUAGAUUCAAACAAAGGCAGAGUGUUAUUUAUUAAUGGCAGAUUGUCCAUUAUACUAUUGAUCAUUACUAGUAGAUUUCUUUCAAAACCUACUUUGACCAUCAAAGAUAAAUCAUUAUUGACAAACAUCUAAGUAUUUCCCAAGUUCAAUCAAAGUUUUCUUGAUUCAUAUGCAUUUAAAUUUCAACUUUCUUUUGCAAAAGAAAUUCAAAAAAAAUAAUAAUAAUAAUUAAAAAAAACCUACUAAAAAAUAAGGGCUCGUUUAGCUAUGUUUUAUGUAUAAAAGAAACAAGUGAAUUAUUUUAGAUCAAUUUUUACUCUUAAAUUUACAAUAUUAAUUGAAUCACUAUUUAAGUCUCAAGUUAUUUUUAAAAAUUAGUAGAUUCAUGAAUGAAUCCAAGCCAUUAAGUCUGACUUAAUUUGAAGUUUAUUUUCCUAAUGAACAUAAUUUGUAAAAAUAUAAUUAUAUGCAAAGAAUAAACUAGUCAAGUCAUUUAAAAUAAAUUUUAGUGUAUGACUUUUUAAUAUUAUUGAGUUUUAUGACCUUUUAAUACUAAUUAAAUCGGUUUUUGAGUUUCAAAUUGUUUCUUAAGACCCUUGAUUGAUUCUACCAUAAAGGCCUAAUGGAAUAAUUACCUAUUCUAUCUUAUUCGCUACCAAUAGUCAUAUUCAAAUUAAACUGCUAUCAAUUCUAAGCUUUAGUCAUCUAUUCGAUCAAUGUAUCUUUAUUUUUAAAAAUUGGUGAAAACAAUUUCUAUUUAUUCUCUAACAAUUGUUAUCUAUUUUAUUUUAUUUUCAAAAAUUUAAAAUAAAGAACAAUAGUUAAAUAUUGUUAUGAAAUUUAAAAUAGCUUUUUGUUUAUAUGACCAAAAAACUAUUCUCUAAUCACAUAGCCAAAUAAGCCCUGAAGAACAAAAAUCAAGACUAAUUACAAAAAUACCUAUCUUAACAAUGCAAGAGGGAAGCUAGUAGUUGAAAUAAGUGGUGCAUUGGGGCCCACUAGCCAUUCUUUUAUAUUAAUCUAUUAAAGUAGUUCCAUUGGUUAUUCACAUUGCAAAUUGUCACUUCCAUAAAAUUAGCAGUAUUUUUAUUAAAGGUAGUUCCACUCAUUAUUCACUUUGCAAACCGUCACUUUCUAAAAUACUGUAUCUUCACUAACUUAGUGAACUUUUAGGUCAUCACAACGUCAAUUGGGACAAAAAUCACAUUGUAAGUGUAAUCUCGACCUUAAACUCUCUUCUCCCCCAACUCUCUUACUUUCCAUGUGGAGUACAAAUUGGAAUUUUUAUUUUAUACAUUGGAAGAAUUCGCUUAUUUAUAUCAGUUAAUGAAAGAGCCCAAUGCAAAAAAAAUUACAAGCAUGAGAAAGUGAAAAUGGGACAAAGAGACAUAAACCAAAGCAAAGAAUUCACACUAUAAAAAAUGGUACAAUCUUCAAGGUGUGCUUUCUCUCGAGACACUAGAAUUCUCCUAGGCUUGCAUGUUUUCUUUGUUUACCACUUAUUAGACCGCCAACUGCUUUCCAAGAUGCUACCACUUAGCCAAAUGACAUAGGACAAAUGGAAGUUUAUUGUCCCACAUCAGUUGAUUAUCAACAUUGGUUGGGCCUCAUGUGGGACUACAUCUAUCCUCCAUUAGCUUGGACUUUUAGGAGUGUAUAUGGUUUGACAUCAUUUAAUAUUAGACCGAUAUUUGGGUUGGCUUACCUAGUAGUUGUUGAUAUGGACAUCAAGAACUAAAUGAGGGUGUUUGACAUAAGAUGAAUGGAAGUCAAUGUUCCAAAUUGAUUAAUUAGUGAUGUUGGUUGGGCCUUAUAUGAAACUACCUCUAUCCCCUUAGCUUUGGCUUUUGGGAGUGUAUAUGGUCCUACAUCACCAAACCUUUGAGACAACAUUUUGGACCUACAAAAUCCCUCAUAGUAGUUGGGAAUGAGGCUUUUGGGCAGCUCCAAAGAAGAAGAGAAGUUGAGGGAUUUUCAGCUACCAUCCUCAUGUUGUCUUUCUUAUUCUCAAGCUAGCUCUCUCAAUAAUUUUCGUUGCUAUAUUAUAUUUGUGUAAUUAGUUUUUCAAGACUUUAGUAUAGUUCCCUAUUAUGUAGAUAUUGAGCACUUUGAACUCCAAUUUAAUGUUUAUAUCAAUUGCAAGUUUUGACCUUAUUUUCUUUGUUCUUUAACGUUUGUUACUAGAAGUUCUUCAAAGUUAGGGAGGUCCCUUCGAGAACAAUUAAUACACAUCAUGGGAGGAAUUGAUAUUGUCUUCACCAUGUAAUUGAAGAUUCCCCAUUGGAAGGAAAACCCAUUUUACUCCUUGGAAUGGAAACUUAGAAGUUACUUUUUAAGGUAUUUUAAGUGUUGAGGGUUCUAACCCUUUUUGAACUUUAGGCUACUUUGUUUCCUAAUGGAAAACAUGAGAAAAAAAAAAAGUAAAAUGAAAGUAAAAAACUAGACUUAAAAUCAAUAAAUUAUGUUUAUAUGCUACUUCAAACUCAUUUCACUUAUUUUAACUUUUUUUAUAUUAAAUUCAAAUAAUUAAAAAAUGCAUAAAUUUUUAAUUAAUUUUAAUCAUAUUUAAUUUUUAAAAAAUAUUUUUAAUGAUAAAAUUAAAUAUUAAAAAAUUAUUUUUCUUAAUAUUUUUUUUCUUCCUUUAAUCCUUGUUUAGAACCAAAUAUAACCUUAAGACUGACAUUGGCAUCACAAGGACAAUAAGGCUUUGAAAAUGGAAAGAAGGUUAAGGUUGCAAGGCAAAGCUACUUGGACAAAAUCACUUCAAAUACUCUACCUAGGUUUUUCCCUAUAAAUGCUAUUGGUUGUAGGCUUUGAGUUGUGCAUUGGCUAUGAAAGAAGGAACCUCAUUAGACCCCCUAUGCUUGGCAUUUAAAUUUAUUCGUUUUUUACAUAGCUAUAAAUCAUUGUUUUCACUUUUUCUAACCAAAGAUUUCCCAGGAUUCUCUCAAUAUCUCCUUAUUAAACAACUCUCUUUCAAUCAUAAUUUAAAGAGAAAAUCAGCACCACUUUUGGAACUAAUUCAUCUCAUGCCUCUCAAUGUCCACUGCCUGCCACUUUGGAACAUUAUGCCUGAGAAUACUACUAAAUUCUUUACUUGCAAACACCCCAUGUACUUGGGGAAUCGACACAGUCAACAUUCAGGGCUUAAGAAUUCUUUUCAUUUUAGGCUUUUAGAGUAACAAACCCACAGUAUGCAAGUAAAUGGGAAAAUAAUUGGCGAUUACAAUAUACAGAGAACAAAUAAAUGAACUAGAACAAAACAAAUAAAAAAUUUUCAAAUUUAAUUAUAAAGCGCACUCAGUAUGUUAGGCUCAAUAUUAGAAUCUAGAAAAGAUCAUAAGGAAAAAUGAACUCAAUAAAAGAUUACAUACAAACAAGUCAAAAAUGACCCACAAAAAUAACAGGCAUUAAAGUACCACUCUAAGAUGUAUAGAUCCACAAUAAUUUUGGGAACAAAAACUGACAAACUGAAAUUGCAAGUAUAAAGACUGAAAGUCGUCUAUUACUGUUUAGAAAACAAAUACACCUGAGGAAGAUUUAGAAGCCACAACUGCUGCCAUCUAGUGUACGUUUGGGUUUGAACUAAAGCUUCAACAAUCAUCCAUGAUAGAGAAUUUUGGAUCCACCCUUCCAUUCUCAAUUAACCAUCCUCUUAAUCCAUACUUUGCAUGUUUUAGUAAUGCAAUUUAAGGUUUUGAAGUGAGGUUGGUUCCAUCUUCACUCUCCAUUAUGAGAAAUUGCUCUUAUAUAGGCAACACCUAUUUCAGCAAGGAAAGAUCAAUGACAUCUUUUAGGCCUUCAGAAAUAAAAAGGACAAAACAAUUUUUAGGAAUAUAAAAUAAAUUGAUAAAACCAUACUCUUCCAUGAUCUUCAACAUAAAAAUCAGCAUCUUUCCCUUCUCUCAUUAACUUUGGGAUAUAAAUGAACUUCAUUUAUACAAGCAACCUGUCGAAUAAAUAUAUCUUAUUAGACUAUGAGCCAUGCCUUUUUUUAAAUUCUUAUAUUUAAAGAAUGGUAUAAAAAGAACCAUAAGAACGUCUAUCAUGAAGCCAAUAGUAAGCAUAAAUCAAAGGUAUAGAAAGGUUACCCUCCAUAUAUGAAAACGAUCAAUCCUACACCCAUUUUCAUAUCAAACACUGAAGUGGCUUAUUUUUCUUAUAAAAAAAGAAAACAAUAUAUCAUUUGAAAUUCACCACAAAAAAAAUAAAAAUGAAAAAAGCUAGACUUCAAUAGUAUUUCUCAAUAGUUGAAACCUUCAAACUAGUGAUUUAUAGGUUCAACUAAUAUCAUCAAAGCAUGCUAAUAAAAGGAUAACUAUGCUUAUAAAUGUUUAGUUAAAUCUAAAAUCAAAAUUAUAAUUCAAACAUUUAUAGGAAAACUAUCUAAUUAAUUAUAUUAAAAGUCUUGAGUAGCCUAUCUUUUAGGCCUUUAGAGAUAAAAAGAACAAAACAAGCUUUAGAAAAGAUAAAAUACAUUGAUAAAACCAUACUCUUGAGUGAUCUUCAACAUAAAAAUCAACAUCUUUCCCUUCUCAUUUACUUUGGGAUAUAAAUGAAUUUCAUUUAUAUAAGCAACCUGUAGAAUAAAUAUAUCUUAUUAGACUAUAAGUCAUGUCUUUUUUAAAAUUCUUAUAUUAAAAGAAUGAUAUAAAAAGAAUCAUAAGAACAAUGUCUAUCAUGAAGCCAACAGUAAGCAUCAAUCAAAAGUAUAGAAAGGUUAUCAUCCAUAUAUUGUGAAAACAAUCAACACUACCCACUUUCAUAUCAAACACUGAAGUGGUUUCUCUCUCUAAUAAAAAAAGAAAUGAAUUUAUCGUUUGAAAUUUACCACAAAAAAAAUGAUAAAAGCUAAGCUUCAAUAGUACUUCUCAUUAGUUGAAACCUUCAAACUAAUGAUUUAUAGGUUCAACUAAUAUUAUUAGAGAAUGCCAAGAAAGGAUAACUAUGCCUAUAAAUAUCUAGUUAAAUCUAGAAUCAAAAUUCUAAUUUGAACCUUUAUGGGAAAACUAUCAGAUUAAUUACAUUCAAAGACUUGAGUAGCAUAUCUUUUAGGCCUUUAGAAAUAAAAGAAAUAGAACAAUCUCCAGGAAAAAUAAAAUAAAUUAAUAGAACCAUACUCUUCAGCAAUCUUCAACAUCAAAAUCAAUAUCUCUCCCUUCUCUCAUAACUUUGAGAUAUAAAUGAACUUCAUUUAUAUAAGCGACUUGUCGAAUAAAUAUAUCUUAUUAGAAAAUGAGUCAUGUCUUUUUUAAAAUUCUUAUAUUAAAAGAAUGGUAUAAAAAGAACCAUAAGAGCAAUGUCUAUCAUAAUGCCAAUAGUAAGCAUCAAUCAAAAGUAUAGAAAGGUUACCAUGCAUAUAUUGUGAAAAUGAUCAACCCUACCCACUCCCAUAUCAAACAUAGAAAUGGUUUAUUUUUCCUAUAGAAAAAAAUAGAAAAGAUUAUCAUUUGAAACUCACCACAAAAAAAUAAAAAAAUAAAAAAAUAAACUUAAAAAUUAAAAAUUAAAAAAUUAAAAAUUAAAAUACCUAGGCUUCAAUAGUAUUUCUCAAUAGUUGAAACAUACAAACUAAUUAUUUAUGACAUCAUAGCAUGCCAAGAAAAGGAUAACUAUGCCUAUAAAUUUUUAGUUAAAUCUAGAAUCAAAAUUCUAAUUCAAACAUUUAUAGUAAAACUGUCAAAUCACUUAAAUUGAAAGUCUUGAGUAGCAUCAUAAGAAAUUUUAUAUAUAAGAAAUACUAAAAUACUAGACUCAUGAACUCCAAUUCAAUAAUUCCUAGUGCUCAUGCACUUUGCUGAUACUCUAUUGUACAUAAGAACCAUUGUCUUAAAACUCGAAGAAAUUCAUAAAAGGUCUUAGCAAAUUGGUUGCAAAUUAAUGGAUGAUAAUAAAUACAAAUUAUGUGCAAUGUACAAAAUAAAUAAAUAAAUAAAGAUAUCAAAAGAUAGGGAGUAUGAUAUACUUAUGCCCAUGCACCCACCAUUUACAACUUGUCAUUAUGAGCCUCUAGGACAGAAGUGAGACUUUGCCAAUCUUCAUUAUUAUAGCAUUUUUUGCAUUAGAUGGGAUGUGACCACAUUGACAAAUAUAUACUUAAUUAAUCUAAUCUGUUACCCAGGCAUGUUGAAACAAUUUUUUAGUAAUUUGACAUUCAAGUAUCUAUUGAUGGUUAUAAACAUAUUUCUUCACAUAAUUAGAAAAUGAUUUUUUUCUUUUAUUAUAAAAAUGAGAAAUGUGACCAAAGACAAAUUACUUUUUGUUUGAGUCACAAAAUGAUGUGUAGUGCCAAAUUGUAAAAUUUUCAAGUGUGGUAAUUGAAAAUAUAUUGAAUCUCUUUUGUGAAAGACUCUAAUUUUAUAAUAAGAUGAAUAUUCAUUUUAUCUUAUGCGGAAAAACAUAAAUAUCAAGACGCUAGAAAGAUGUUAAGCCUCUAAGCCAUAAUGUUGGAAAUUUUCAUAGAGUAUGACAUGCUCCUAUACUGAUGGAUAUAUUGGAUCCUUGAUGUUUUCAAUAUGCGUAAAGAGGGAUACCCUUUUGUGUAGAUUGUUUAGGUGUAGAUGUAGUGGCAUGGAUAUCAACUUGGGGAAAUGAUAUCAGCAAUAAGUGUUGUUGUAAUUGUCACUUGCUUUGAGAGUGGUAGUCCUCCUUGACAUAUCUUGAAGUUUGUCAAAUCUUCAAGAAUGGGCAAAAUCAUACUAUCAACCACCUUCAAUUGAAAGAAAGAAGAAAAAGAAUACUUGUUACCAAUAUUUUUUGUGCAUUCUAGACCACUCAGAUUGCUAAGCUUGAGAAGCUUGAAAAGAGUAUUGUCCAAAAUGCUAUACCAAUUCAAUAGAACAUGAAAAUCAAUGGAUCAAUGUUGCAAAAAAGUAUACUUUUUUUUUAACAAACUAGUUGAGAAGUGAUACACAAUAAAGAAGAUCAAAGUUAGAAAAAGAGUAAAAAUUAUAAACUUGAACAAUGAAGUUUAUAGUAGAUAGUAACAAAAAAUAAGAGAGCAUAAAUCACUAAUGCAAUUGAGCUAACCUUUUCAAUGGGUGUCACCCAUCCAUAGCCUGUCAACAUGUGCCUCUAGAGUACUGAACAACGCUCAACCAAGACUAAGCAUUAUGUCUUUAGUAUUGGCAUUGAUACUGAAUUAAUUUUCAAAAAAAAAAUUAUUAAUCCAAGCACUUUUAUAAUCGAUAUUUAAUUAUUUCAAAUAAGAUAUUAUGGAGCAUUAACAUUGAUUUCUUUUACCAAAAAGCUUAGAAAACUAUCUUCACUCCCAAGCGUAUCCACUUAUGUAUGCAUGUCUAACCUACAUGGCAUGGCUAAUCUUUAUUACAACAAGAAAACAAUCUUAACAGAUGACUAUAAAAACAACAAAGCAUAAAGCCAACAAAAAUGGUAAAUAUGGUUGGCAUUGCAAACCUGAAAUAUUUGACACAAGGCAAAUCUGAAUUAAAGAGAGCACGAGUCUUUACGCAUCAGUCUUCCCUUACCUAUCAAUAUAAAAAGAGCAUGAAGUAAACAAAAAGGUCAACUUUAGAAAAUUAUGAUAACUAAUUUAGAAUACAUUAGUGAGAUAGGAUGUCAAACCAUUUUAAAAUGAACACUUUUUUCGACUUGCAGAUUAAAUGUACAACUCAACCAACUUCUUGAAAAUAGGUAGAUAAUUAAGAAAUUAAUAUUUAAAAUGCACUCAAAAAAUGAUGAAUUUAGGCUUCUGUAGUAGUUCUUAAGAAUUGAAACCUAUAAAAAAACACCAUUUAUACUUGAGUUUUCUUUGGAGAGAGGUACCUAUUGUAAAAAGAGAAAGAAAUCAUUACCAUCUCAUGUCUAGAAGAGAACAUGAACAAAGAAGAAUAUAUUUAUAUAUCUUGAUUUAUAAACAUAUAAAAUCCUCAGAUACAAGACACUUGAAGAAAAACUCCAUUGUGAAUAAUGACUUGAAAUAUGUGCCAUGCCCUUAAAGCUUUAUUGUUCUACUGCCUAUAAGAAUCAAAAGAUGAAAAGUAAAACAAUGUAACAAUCGAUUGUCAAAUAAUAAAACAAAAAGAGACAAAAUGAGGAAGAGAUUGGAAUUGUAAACUUGAAUAAUAAAGAGAGUUGGUAAUGAGAACCUAAAUUGAGAGUAGAAAUCCUUUAUGCGCUAACCAUGUAGUAAAUAUCAAUCUGAGACAUUGAGAAAUUUUUAGCCCAAUCCAAAACCUAUUUCAUUUUGGCAUCAAUUUUUACAGUUAUUUUAAGAUAGGGUGAUAAAUGAUUGCAAGCAGUGGUUUCAAACAUAUAAGCAACAUUCUCAAAAUAUUUAUAACAUCAUCAUCACCAUUAUCCAACAAAAGUAUUUCUUCUUACAACAUAAAAAUCUAACUUCUUAGGACAGUACAUGCUCAAUUCCCUAUCACAGAUGUAAAUUUCCAAAUUCAUAAACAUAUACAAUCCUGACAUUGAGAUUUUCACAAAUAAAUUAUGGUAUGUUUGCACUUCCCUAAAACUUAGAGAAGAUUCUCUUGCAUUAUAUAGAUGUAGAUCCUUAAGAAAAAAGUAAGUCAAGUAUGAAAGCUUAACCCUUUGGUAUGCAUGUGAGAAUUAAUAAAUCAGAACCAAAACCAUAGUCCAAUAGUUUUUAUCAAAUUAGUUAGGAAAAGAUAAUGACAACAUAUCAAAAGCGAAAUGAAAGGCCAAAAGCAUUAACCUAAAUAACAAAGACGUAUUAUGGAUGAGACACAAAUUGAAGAGAGGUUAGCUUGAGGAGUUGAUGGAAAUCCACAUGCAACAAUAUCCAUGCAUAGUUUUUCAACAUAAAUCUCUGGGACAUUGGCUAAAAUUUGGUUGACCACUAUUCCUAUUAGAUUGGCCUAAAAUAUUUAAUAAGCUAAGCAUGUCACAGUGAAGGAAAAUUAAAGAUAAGAUAAAUUGUCUAUAUAAAUCUCUUAUGCUAUGUCCUGAAUAUGUCUUAUAAUCUCUAAUGUUGAUAAGAAUCAUAUUAUUAAACUCUUACAUAAUUUACUAGAGUACAAAAUCUUAUAAUGUGCUAAAAUCCUAUAUAGUAGCUGAUGAUUUUUUUAUUUACAAUUUCUAUAGUAUCUAUUUUAAGUGUUAAAAUUAUAUAAUAUUAUAAUAGUUUGUAUGUUUUAUUAGGAGUAGCCAUGUGCAUUCUUUCCUCCCCAUAAAUCAUGAACUUGCAAAUACCUCUCUCUAAAUUUUGUGAUAUUAAUACUUCUAUAACUACUUUCAUUUUUUUUUAUUUUUUUUUUGUGUAAUUGAUAAUUUCCAUGAUUUUUUAAAUCAAGAUCAAAAUCUUGUAAAUUUUUUUUAUGCUUUUGUUGAUAUCAAUAUUUUGUUCUUUGCUUACAUCUCUAAUAUAGAAAAUAGUUGAGGCAACUAAUGGUCUCUCUCAACCAUAUGAGUUUGUGAUAUUACUCAAGCUAGUAUAAGAAUGAUGCCCAAACUCAGGAAGGACAACAUGUAAUGGGUUUCUCAAGAACCCUAAAGCCUAUUUGGUGGUAAAGAUAAGAAUAGAUUUUCCCAAGAUAUUUGCACCAUUAUCCCUCUAGUAGUAGGGACACUAAUUAAAUUUGUGAUAAAUUAUGUAAUGUAAGCUAGCAUUUCCACAAAUUCUUGGAAUUCAAAACAUGAAGUAACAUGAUCAUUUUUGAUCCAUAACAUUAGAAAUUGGUUUGAAGAUGCACAAUUUUCAAACUUAUUGUAUAAGCUAAUCAGAUGUAUAAGGUGUAAAUAUAAAUAACAAAGCUAUCUUUUGCUUCAUAUGUUGUCCCACGCCAUAAUUAUGAAAGUAGAAUGUAACAAGUGCACAUUGAUUGUCAAAUAAUUAAAAUGAGGCUACAGAGAAUGAGAAGAAAAGUUGGGAUCUUAGACCUGAAAUGCCUUUAUGUAUUAGUAGAAUUUUCACAAAAAUAUAAAUUUUUGAGAUAUAAGCGAUCUUGGGUCAGUCUUGAUCAAUUCCUUUUGGCAUCUUUCCGAUAGACAUAGAUAAUUGUAGAUUUGAGUUUCUGAAGGGUGAUAAGGUAUUCAUCUCAUCCUGCAGUGAUAUCAAUUCAGAGAAAGAAUGAACUUGAACCUCUAUGAGUUAAGUGAUAGUAGUAUUGCCAAAGCAGAACAGUUGUCAAUUGUGAGAAUGUGGAGGGUUAUAACAGGUUGAAGUACCUUCUUUGGGAGAGAUAUUACCAUUAUUGUUUGUGUACUCCAAAGCAUUCCAAUCCCAGAGGUCAAGAAACUCAAGUGAAGGGAGGUAACUAGAUUGUCAUAUGAAUUGGUAAGAUUUGAAACUCACUCAAACUGUUGGUGUUCUACUGCAUGCAGAAAAUAUCUGAACUCUAAACAAAGUAGAACAAUUUAAACAAAAUGAAUGGGAAGUAAUGAAUUAAAUAUUAAGAAUUCUUAACGCACUUACAUAUGCACACAAUAUGUGCUAAUGCAUAUGAGAAUCAGGAAAAAAAAUUAUACAAAAAGUAUAACACUUUUAGAACAUUGUAAAAUAAUAAUAAAAAAAAUUGAAGCCAUCAAAAAAUAGGAAAAAGACUGCAUUGUAAACCUGAAACAUAUUGUUGAUGGCAUGCUCAAAUUAGAGAGACUACGAGUAGUUUAUGAAUCAACCAAUCUUUGCUAGUCGAUAUCUCAAGUAGGCCCUUUAGCAUGGUUCUAGAUUCUCUUAAAUAAAACUGAAAUGAGCCUCAUUGCUCCAACCACUCCCCUAACCACAGGAUUUACACAUGGACAGGCUAACCCUUCCAUGUUUAUAUGUCACUCACAACACAAUUGCAAGAAAUUUAGAAAUCUUAGGACAGUCUUAACCCUUUCCUUUUGGCAUGUUUUUUAGUAAGUAUCAACAACAAUGGUAGAUUAUGAGUUUUUGUAAAGUGCUCAUAGGCAGAUCCCUUCUCACCACCAUUUCAAUCAAAGCAGUCAGCAAUCUAAAGGCUCUAAGGGUUGUGAGACAAAGAAAUUAGGCUACCUCCCCUCUGCAUUUUCAAUAACUUGGGAGAAAUGAGGUGUGCUAGACAGGAGGAGAGAUAUUAGCCUAUGACAAUUCCCACUUUCUGGUUACCUUAGAAAGGUGAGGUGGCAGACACUAGGAGAGAUAUUAGUCUAUGAAAAUCCUCAUUUUCCAAUUCAUUUAGAGAGUUGAGACAGCUACUUCAAUAUUUAGUUUUUCUUUGACUUGGCAACAAUUACAUCUCAAAUAAUAGUUAACCCAAUAAAUUUCCCAACUAGUAGAAUGGAAAAUGGAGUAACAAGAUCAUAUAUUGACUUAUAGUCAUCCAAGUACAAAGUAAUGGGGUCCAGUCCCAUUAAUGCACACAUGUGGAGAAACAUUAUUUCGACAAAGGCUGCCCACCCUUGUUGGAAACAUAAAUUGAAGUUUUUUCUUCAGUUCACACACCAAAUAAGCAUCCAGAAUACGCCUAUAAAUAGGGGCGUUUAGGGUGCAUCAAGUGCAGAGCAUUAGCUCAUCUCUGAGCAACACAACCACAAAGAGUUGUGAGAAACAGCCAGGAAGAGUUGUGGGUAUCACACCAAGGAGAGUGUGAAGAGAAAAAAGUUUUGAGUGCUCCAUAGAGAGAGUAUUGAGUGAUAAAAUUAUGAGGAUUGUGAUCAUAUCCUGGGGUGUGAGAAACUCAAGUAGUGGCAACACUUGAGUAAUAUUGUUAUACCAAUUUUGUCACAUAGUGGAUUUAUUUUCCCAUGGAGGUUUCCCUCACAUUGAGAGUUUUACCACAUUAAAUUUGGUGUCUGUACUUGUUAUUUAAUUUUCUAUGUGUGGAUUGGCUUUGCCACCCAACUGCAUAUUUAUAAUUGUUGUGGAUUGGCAUAGCCACCCAAAUAUUGCAUAAAUAUUACUUGCUGUAAUAUUUAACAGGUCUUGCUGAGCUGGAGGAGAAUAGUAAAUUACUAUCCAUAUCACUAUCCCGGGACACGACUUACCUGUCGGCAAUUCUGCUUGCACCCCAACACAAAGCACUAGCGAUUUAUAUCUUUGAAGAUACGAAUUUCUAAAUUUACUAAUCUAAUGAGUUAAUGAAAGAGGUGAAGAGUGACAGAAAUUACACAAUUACUUUGUCCAACAACUAUUAAUUAAUAGAAUUAGACUCUUAACAGAUGUUGCUAAUUUGCAAUACCUGGUUAAUGAUUUCUAGCCCAAAUUAUUCAGCUAUAUUUAACAUAAAGGGACAGUUCUAUACCUAAAAAAAUUACAAAUAGGAUGGAAUAAUAAGGAAGUCUUUUACCUAGUUGUGUUUGGUUAGAAUGACAUUUUAAAAAUAAUUAAAAGCAUUGUGAUAGACUUCUGUUUUAUCUAUGCUAAUACACACACAUGGGAAAAAGACAAGAGAACUAGUCUACAAAAUUUACAUUUAAUGUUUGUGACUUGUUCAAUUUGGUUAGUAUCCUAGUAAAUAUGAGAAAUAACAAAUGAGCAUAACACUCUUAACAGAUUGAUAAUUAAAUUACAAAAAUAAUAUAGCCAUCCAUAGUAGGGUGAUUACCUAAAAUAUAUGGUACAAAGCAACUAGGAUUGAAGAAGAUAGCAGGAAUUCUUUCUACAGUAGACAUCUAUAAAUAUGAAUUUCAGGGCAAUGAGAAAUAUUUAAGCCAAUUCAAAACUUGUUACCUUCUUGCAGUGCUUUCAAGCUCGAACAGGCUACUGUAGGGAGUGAUUUCACGUUGGGCCAAGGACUUUUUCACAAGAUUCUUAAGUAAGGUGCAAUCUGUGACAAAAUACUAAAUAAAUCAACCUCAGCAUUUUCCUAAACUCUCAGAAUGCAAAAAUUAAAGUAACGUAAUUACUUGGUACAUGGUAUAAGUAUUUGAUCACAUUAAAUGCAAACAUAAAUAACAAAAUUGUUAUUUUCUAUACGUGCUAAUGAAUACCAAGAAUUAUCAAGGCAGAACUGUAAAUACAACAUACUGAUUGGAAAAUAGUAAAAAGGAAGCUAUAAAAAAUGAGAAGACAUCUUGAGAAUUCAGACCUGAAGUGGCUUUCUGUAUUAGUCUCUGUAGGGUGCUAAGGGAAUGCAUCUCUUCUCGCAGUGAUGUAAUUGAGGGAAACAAUAAAUUCAGAGCUCCAUAGGUGCUGUAAGCUUGCCUAUCUAGUCUGGUAAUGUUAUCACUUGAGAGCAGUGAAAAGAGAGUCUGAUGCAAGUAAGAGGAGUUUUUAACUUUGCACCAACCCUCAAUAGCUUUUUUUCCAAUGCAUGGGCAAUAUUCAACCCAUCCUCACCAUCAUCCUUAUUUGCAAUGGCAUAUAAGAAACCUUUGGGCCAAUGAAUAACCACGAGUAUCUUAAACAAGGUGAAAUCUGCAAGAAAAUAGUAAUCAGAUCAACCCUAGCAUUUUCCCAAACUCUUAGAAUGCAAAACUUAAAAAGUAAUAUGAUUAGCUUGGUCCUCAAAGACCAUUUAAUGACUUGUCUAAAUUGUACAAUGAUUUAAAGAUGCAAACCUUUCAAACUUAGUGACUUUUGCAAAAUUAUAAUUUUAUCAAAUAGUUUGGCAGUAAAUAAUAAAAAUUGAAGCUAUUAAACAAGAAGAAACAUUGAAUUGUAAAACUGAAAUAUAUUGUAGAUGACAUGCUUGAAUUAAAUAUAGUAAUCCUUCAUGAAUCAAUCAUCCAUUACCGGUCAGUAUCAAUUCUGGAAACAUUGAAGAACUGAGGAGCACAGUGAUUCAAAUUCAGGGCAAACAGCAUUUUGUAGCUCAUUAAGAGAUCUUUGGAUGUUUAUCCAAUUUGAUGAUGUUACUAAACAAUAACAGUAUUUUAAGAAUUUCCAGAAUGAUAACAUUUUGAGGCCCUAAUGAUGGAGACACCAACUCAAGCUUCUGAGUCCUUGCAAUUUGCAUGUGAACCUCAUCCUCAUUAUCCAACAAAAGAAGCUGUCUGCAACAUUUAUUCAAGGUCUCAAAGUUAAUAUUGAAUGCACUAGAGGAGAUGUCCAAGCACUACCAUUAUCACUUUUUACAGAAAACCGAAAACAAUUAUAUCUGCAAUAAAAUCAUUAACCUAUUCCAAACAUAAAAUAGCAAGAUCAUUUCAGAAAAGAAUUAUAAUAGUUAAUUUUAACCAUUAAAAUACACAUCAUUAGUAAUUGAUAUCUUUAAAGAUAUGAUUUUCAAGCCAAACAAGUUCAACUAAAUUAUAAUACAUGACGACUAAAUCAUAAUAUCAAUGGACUACAGUUUCUCUCUAUUCUAACUCUACCAAUGGCUAACAUAAUAAUCAAGUGUAUUUAUCUAUGUUGUGCUUUGGUUUGAGUUGAUAUUGUAGAAAAUAGUAUAAAGCAUAGCAACGGACUACUGUUGUGUCCAUCCUAAUACAUACACAGUGAGUAGAGAUAAGACAAGUAGUGUAGACAUUUUUUUCCUUUACAUGAUCCAUUAAUAAACAAACUCAUCAAUGAGUAUAACACCCUUAACAUAUCAAUAGUAAAAUUUAUGAUGCUGCAGCCAUCCCUACUGGGAGAAGGAUUACCUGAAAUAUAUAUGUCCACUAGCAGGCCUGAAUUGAAAACAGAGCAAAAGUCCUUUCUGCACUAGUCAUCUAGUAGAUAUGAAUUUAUGGGCCAUGUGAAAUAUUUAGGGCAACCCAAGACCUAUCCCCUUUUAGCAUCCCUUUAGGCAUUAAGCCAAUCAUAAGCUUCUUAAGGAAUGUAAAAUCUGUGACAAUGGUUUGAAAAUGGAAAAAAAAUUCAAACUUACUGAUCUGAGCAAUUUAACAGAGCAAAUAUAAAGAAGUGCUAAAGCAAAAUGAAAACAGAGCAUUUUGCAUGUAUGAUAAUAAAAUUGAGAAGAAAGCUAGGGAAUUUCUGACCUAAAAUGACAUUCUAUAUAAGUUCACUCUUCAAUAAUGCAGGUACAUGUUAAUUCAUGGGAUAUAAGCAAUCUUGGGCCAGUUCCCUUCAACGUAUUUCUGCAAGGUGCUCACAAUUGUGUAUAUAGUGACUAAGUGAGGUGAGGCUGCCAAUCCAGCGUGGUAAUGUUGUCAAACCACAACAGUUGUAAAUUGAGAGACGUUGAAGAGUUGAAACAUGUCAAUGCAGCUCCUCAGGAAGAAAUAUCAAAUCAUAUAUCUUCCAUAUGGACAAACACUCCAAUGAAGAAUCAGUAACAAGCAUUAACUGCCGCAAUACCUCUUCUCUCACUUUAGACAGUAGUAGUUUCUUAAGACAAGGUAACAAAGACACUUGCAAGAAUGUCUAAACUAGAAAGAAGAGGAGAUGAAUGCAGUUCCAAGGAUGCCAACUCAUCACAACUCCCUAUCUCUAAUUUCGAAAGAAGAGGAGAUUGUGGCAGUAGUAAGGAUGUGAGCUCAGGGCAUUGCGAGAUCUUUGAACUAGAAAGAAGAGGAGAUGAAUGCAAUUCCAAGGACGCCAACUCCUUACAAUACUCGAUAUCUAAUUGUGAAAGAUAAGGAAUUGAAGGAGGUGGUUGUGUUGGUAAGUCCCUUCACAAUUCCUUCAACUUUGGCAUUCGAGUAAGAUUGAGUUUUUAAAGAAAUGGGACGAAUGGCCCUUCUGAUGAACAUUCCAUGUAUUCCACCUUUUCCAGAUCAUCAAGCUGUAGAGACUUGAGGCGAGGAAUUCAAACGAAGCAUGGCAGAGUCGAGCAUAUUAAACAUCUUUCAAAAUUAAUUGUGAUGAGUUUAGGAAGUCAAACUGAAAUGUAUUAUAGAUGGCAUGCUUGAAUUAAAGAAUAAAAAUCCUUUAUGAUCAUUCGUUGAUGGUCAAUAUCAAUUUCAGGAACAUUGAAGUGCUGAGGGGCGUAUCCCUCAUGUAGCAGGGAUUUCAAUUCAGGGCCAAUAGGAUUUUGAAGCUCAUUAAGAGAUGUCAAGCUAUCCAUCCAGUCUCAUAAAGUUGCUAAGCAAGAGCAGUUGACGAUUUUAAGAAUUUCUAGAAUAGUAACAUUUCCAGGCCUCAAUACUAGAGACACCAACUCAUGCUUCGGAGUUCUUGCAAUUUUCAGGCCAACCUCAUCCUCAUUAUCUGACAAAAGAAGCUCACUGCAACUUUUAUUUAAGGUAUCAAAAGUGAUGAAAUAUUGAAUCCCCUCAUAGAGAUGUCCAAGCCCCACCAUUAUCCCUUGUACAUUCAGUAACAACAAUUACAUCUGCAAUAAAAUAGUUCAUCUAAGAAAUUUCCAAACAUGAAGAAUGCAAACACAAAAUAGCAAGUUCACUUUAGAAAGAAAUUAUGAAAAUACACAACAUUAAAAUUGACAUCCUUAAAGAUAAGAUUUUUAAUCUCUACUAAUUACAAGCAUUCUUUCAAGCCAAGAAAGUUUGACUAAAUUAUGAUAAAUGACAACUAAAUCAUAAUAUCAAUGGACUACUGUUUUUGUUUAUGCUAAUGCUAUCAAUGGCUGGCAUAAUAAUCAAGUGUUUUUGUCCAUUGGUGUUUUAGUUAGAGUGAUAUUUUAGAAAUUAUAAGUACAAAUCAUAGCAAUAGACCACUAUUUUGUUUAUGCUAGUACAUACAUAGAAAGCAGAGAUAAGACAAGUAGUAUAAAAAAGUUUUGCUUGACAUGAUCCAUCAAUAAACAAAAUUAUAAAUGACUGACAUUCUUAAUAGAUCAAUAGCACAAAGUACAAACAAUGAUGGUCCAGCUUACAAAGGUUAGAGGAGGAUUUACUGAAAUUUAUGUCUGAUAGCACACCUGAAUUGAAAAGAGAGGAAAGGUCCUUUCUGCAUUGGUCAUGUAGUAGAAAUGAAUUUCUGGUAGUGACUAAUCUCAAGGCAUGUAAAUGAUAUGAGGCUGCCUAACUAGAACAGUCCCAAAUGAUAAGUCUCUGUGGGGUAUUGAGGGAAUGCAUCUCUUCUAGUAGCAAUGUCAAUUAAGGGCAAGGAUGAAUCCAGAGCUCCAUAAGUAUUGUAAGGCUUCCUAUCUAGUCUAGUGAUGUUGUCAAUUGAUAGCAGAGGAGAGUUUAUGUUGUAAGUGAAUGGAGGCUUUUCCUUUUCACCAGCCCUCAAAAGCUUGUUCCCAAGGCAUGGGCAAUAUUCAGCCCAUAACCAUCAUCCUUUUUUACAUUGGGAUAUGAGACACCUUUGUGCCUAUGAACAAUCAGAAGUUCUUAAGCAAGGUAAAAUCUGCAAGAAAAUAUUGAUUAAAUCAACCCUAACAUUUUGCCAAACUCUUAGAAUGUGAAAAAGUAUAAUGAUUAGGUUGGUCCUAAAUUACCAAUUAAUGACUUGUCUAAUUGUACAUGAUUUGAAGAUGCAAAAUUUUCAAAAACUAAGUGAUCUAAGUAUUUAAUCAAACAUAUAGACAGUAAUAUAAUAAAAAUUGAAGCUGUUAAACACAGGACAGAACAUUGGAUUGCAAACCUGAAAUAUAUUGUAGAUGACACGCUUCAAUUAAAGAAAAGAAAUCAUAUAUGAAUCAGGUACCAUUGCUAGUCAAUAUCAAUUUUGGGAAAAUUGAAGUGUUGAGUGACACAUCCCUCCUGGCAGUGAUUUCAAUUCAAGGCCAACAACAUUUUCAAGCUCAUUAAGAGAUACCAGGCCAUCUUCUAGUCUGAUUAAGUUGCAAAACAAGAGAAAUUGAUGAUUGUAAGGAUUUCCAGAAUGUUAACAUUUCAAAGCCCUAAUAGUGGAGGCACCAGCUCAUUAUGCUGCAAAAAUGCUCUCUGCAAUAUUUAUUAAGGCUCUCAAAGGAGAUCAAAUAUUGCAUCCACUGAUAGAGGUGUCCAAGCCCCACCAUUAUUCAUUCUUUACAUUGAAUUUGCAGCAAUUACAUCUGCAAUAAAAUAGUUAAUCUGAGAAAUUUCCAAACACAAAAUAAUAAGAUCAUUUUAGCAAAAUAGAAUUAGGAAUUGAUAUCUUUAAAGAUACAAUUUUCAAACUUGACUAAUUACAAGCAUGUUUUAAGGCCACAAAAGUUCAACUAAAUAAUAAUACAUGACAACUAAACCAUAAUAUCAAUGGAACAUUUUAUUUUCUCUAUGCUAAAUUGCUAACUCUAUCAAUGGUUGACAUAAUAAUCAAGUGUUCUUGUCUAUGUUGUGCUUCAGUUUGAGUGAUAUUUUGUAAAAUAGUAUAAAGCAUAGGAAUAUACUACUGAUUUGUCUAUGCUAAUACAUGCACAGAGAGCAUAGAGAAGACAAGGAGUGUGGAAAUUCAAUGCUGAUGCAACCAUCGAUAAUGGGAGAAGAAUUGAAAAGAGAGAAAAAUUCCUUUCUUCAUGAGUCAUCUAAGAGAUAAUUUAUGGGCCAUGUGAAAUUUUAGGCCAAUUCAAGACUGGUCUCCUGUGGGCAUUAGGCCAAUCAUAAGCUUCUUUAGGAAGGUAAAAUCUGAGACAAAUAAUAUUUAAAUCAGACCUCAGUAUUUCCUAAAACUCUUAGAGUGUGAACUCAAAGUAAAAUGAUUAGUUUAGUACACAGUACGAGCAAUUGGUUAGAUAGAAAAUUUUUUGAACUUUCUGAUCUGAGCAUUUUGACAAACAUAUAAGAAGCAAAAAUAAAGAAGUGCCAAAGCAAAAUGAAAACAGAGCAUUUUGCAUGUAAGGUAAUAAAUUGAGAGUGAAGUUGAGGGAUUUCGGACCUAAAAUAACAUUCUGGAUGAAUUCACUCUUCACCAUCUUUGAUAUAAAUCUCUGGGAUAUGAGCAAUCUGGGGCCAGUCUUGACCUGUUUCCCUUCGACAUCUUUCUGCUAUUUGCUUACAAUCACGUAUAUCAAGCUCUGUAAGUGAGGUGAGGCUGCUUAUCCAGUGUGGUAAUGUUGCCAAACCAUAACAUUUUGUAAUUGAGAGACGUUGAAGAGUUGAAGCAUGUGCAAGCAGCUCACGUCUGAGAGAUUCCAUAUCAUGUAUGCCCUCCAUAUACAGAGACUCCAGUGACGAAUCAGUGACAAGCAUUAACUGCCGGAAUACCCUUUCUCUCACGUUACACAGUUUUAGUGUUUUAAGACAAGGUAAUGAAGACAAUUGCAUAGUUGUGAGCUCAGGGCAAUGAGAGAUGGUUAAACUAGAAAGAAGAGGAGACGAAGACAAUUUCAAGGAUGCCAAGUGACCACAAUCCUCAAUACAUAAUUGUGAAAGUGAUGGCAGUUCCAAGUAUGCCAAAUCACCACAAUGCAAGAUGGAUAAUUCUGAACGAGGAGAUGGAGGCAGUAGCAAGGACGUUAGCUUAGGGCAGUCAUAGAUCCAUAAGUGAGAAAGAAGAGAAGAAUGCAGUUCCAAGGAUGCCAACUUAUCACAGGAGCUGAUAUUAAAUUGUGAAAGAAGAGGAGAUGGAGGCACUAGUAAGGACGUGAGCUCACCACAACAGCUGAUAUUUAAACUAGAAAGAAGAGGAUAUGAAUGCAAAUUCAAGGAUGCCAAGUCAGAACAUUCGAAGAUAUGUAAACUAGAAAGAGGAGAAUCAAGAGAUAGAGGCAGUAGUAAGGAUGUCAGCUUAGGGCAACCGGAGAUCUCUAACUUAGAAAGAAGAGGAAAUGAAUGCAGUUCUAAGGAUGCCAACACUAUGCAGCCUUGGAUCUGUAAAUGUGAAAGACAAGGACAUGAAGUAGGUGGGUGUGUUGUGUCCCUCCUCCACAAUUCCUUCAACUUUGGCAUUUGAAUGAGAAAGAGGUUUUCAAGACAUGGGAAGAUUGGCCCUUCUGAUUGAUAGAUAUAUACUAUUAACCAUGCAUAAGCGUGAAUUUAAUAGUAUGUUAUUAUGAUGUCAUUCUAUAAACAAUUAUUUCUUUGUAUUUAAUUGGAGAUUUGCAUUAGAUAAAUUAAUCUUUCGGCAUAAUUUAAUAAUAAUUGUGUUAGUAUAUUUUAUAUAUAACUAACUGGACCAAGUAGAGAAUGGAUGUUUUGUACUGACUGUUAAAACAUAUUCUCUAGGACAUUAGAAAUAAGAUUUAUGUUUUUAAUCAUGAUUUAAUUAAUAUGAGCAAAUAUAAAAUAUCUUGUGUUUUGAUUCAUUAAAGAGUGAGUUUCAUUUAUUGGAGCGAUAAGACUCGAUGAGUUGGACAAAGACGCUUUAUGUUUGCGAUGUAUUAAAUAAUGAUUGAAUCCACGUCUCGGUAUAGAGAUUGAUGAUGCACUUUAAGUAAGCUUAUAAGGUUUCAUAGUAUAAACCCUGCAGGUGGAUUUUUAUCCGACACAUGAAUUAAGUUAAGCGACAAUCUUGAAGAUCUAUUGUUACUCAAAUAAAUUGUCAGUAAUUUGUUUGAUGUAAAUAGCAUCUGUAAUCUUAACGUGGGAAACAUAAAUUAUUAUGUAAUGGAAUUGUAAGAUUAAUAAGGAGUUCAAUCAUGAAUUUUUAGUGGUAUAAUUUGUGAUUAAUUAUAAUGAGAAUAUACUGGUCCUGUAUGAAUUCUUAUUAUAAUUAGUAGUCUUGUUAAUUUUAUUCCUGCGGUCCCUACUGUGCCUUAAUUGUUUGGACUAUACAUGAAUUAUGUGUUUUAAAUAAAUGAUAGAUUAGUUUUUAAUUAAAUUUUAUUUAAUUAAAAAUAGAUAAUCUAAUUUAUUUAAAAUGAGCAUUUUAAGGGAAAGAGAGUCACGCUUAUAUCUUUUUUCUUGAAGCAAAUUAUGUGCUUAAGAGUUUCUAAGAAAGUGGUCUUCUUCCCAUCGAAGAGAUAUAUAUUAGAAACAGAAAAAAGAGUUUCUAACAAAGUGGUCUUCUUCCCAUCGAAGAGAUAUAUAUUAGAAACAGAAAAGAGAGUGACGUACCCUAGCUAUUGUUUUUUCUGCCCACUCAGAAAUCAUAGUCCGGAAAAUUGAUAAGGUAAACAGCAGAAGAUUGUAGGAGAUUGUGGGCGUUUUCAGCAGAGAAAAAGGUCAGUCUUUUACAUAUGGUUUUGGCUUGCCUCCAUGCUUGUUUCAUCAUGAUUUGUUUCCGCUGCGUAAAUCAUGGUUUCUAUCAAUUGGUAUCAGAGCCUUGUCUGAAACUCGUUUGGAGGUAGCUAAACAUCUUUUAUAUAGAUUCUCAUAUUUACGAUGGAUUAUUUUUUUUUUUUUUCAUCUAUUGUAUGAUAUGGGUGUUUUACGAUUCAAAAUCACAAAAAGAUUGAUGCAUGUUUUUUGCUGUUAAAGAGAGAUUUUGAAUGACGAAAAUGGGUGUUUUAUAUUAUAAUAUUAUAUUGAUUGGCAUGAUGGGUGUUUUAUAUUAUAAUAUUAUAUUGCAUAUAAGGAUGUUAAUGACUGCCGUUUUCAUCAAAUGCUUCAAUUAUAAUAUUGUAUUGUUGAAUGCUUCUAAUUACCGCAAAUCAAGAGUGAUAAUGGCUGCAAUUUUUUUUAAUAAAAGUGCAUAGGUUCACUGCUGUUCAUCCGAAUGUCAUGCAUAAUUUCAUUUGUGAUUUUGGUGAUUUGCCAUGCGAGUUUCUGCAAUAAGAUUGUGCUGUUGUAGACUGCGCAAAAGACAUUAAUUAGAAUGCUACAUGGCUGAACAUUGGUGUUUAUUGCUGAUUUUUGUAAGGUUAUUUUUCUAUCGCAAAUCAGAACAUGCUUGCUGCAGUUUUGGUUUUGAUAACAUGAAUGUUUUAGUAAACCAGCAGCUCAUUUAUUUCCAUUAAUUUGUGAGUAUUUCAAGAGUUGCUAGUUGUGAUUACUUACAUUUUCUUCCUCAUUGGCAGAUGAUAUGUUUUGAUGUAAUCAUUGUAACUCUUCUAGUAUUGUCUAUAUUUAUUUAUCUCUCUAUCUGAGUAAAUUAAUUAGGGACAUAGACUAGAAGUUAUAAUUUCACAUUUAUAUUUAAGAGGCAUGUUUUCUCCCAUCGAGUGGUACAUGUUGAUCUUAUGUUGCUUUUAUAUGCAUAACAUAUGUUUAGUUUAAUUCUCCCAUUGAGAUUACUGUCCAUGGAUGUUAUGAUGCAUAUAUGAAUUUUGCUGUCAUUAUUGUUAUUAUGCAAUCUUGAUUUAAAUUCAGUUUUUGAUUAUUAUUGAAUUGCUGUAAUUUUAUUUUAUGCAUAAUCUUGUGACAGAAUGACAUCUUUCAAUCCCUUAGCCAAUAUCCUAACCCAAAACAAGCUUGAGGGUCCUAACUAUGUUGAUUGGAAAAGAAACUUGCACAUUUUGCUUACUGCAGAAGAAUAUAAGUUUGUGCUCAGUGAAGUGUGUCCUGAAAAACCCGGUGAAGGUGCCACUCAAGAUCAAAUUAAGGCUCACCAGAAAUGGGUUAAAGCUGAUGAGAUGGCGCGAUGUUACAUUUUGGCAUCUAUGUCAAAUGUUUUGCAACAUCAGCAUCAGAAAAUGGAUACAGCUUAUGACAUCUUAGAAAAUCUCAAGGAGAUGUUUGGAGACCAAACUAGUGCAGCAAGGCAGAACGCACUAAGGGAGAUCCUGACUUCUAAAAUGGAGGAAGGAACUCAAGUAAGAACUCAUGUUUUGAAGAUGAUGAGUCUUAUGAAUGACAUGGAGGUUCUAGGUGCUGAAGUUGACAAGGCUACUCAUAUUGAGAUGGUCUUGAACACUCUGCCUCCCAGUUUUCAGCAGUUUCGUUUGAACUAUAACAUGAAUAAAAUGGAUUUUACUCUGUCUAAACUGCUGAAUGAGCUGGUAGCUGCUGAGACUAUUAUUAAGCAAGGAGCUGCACCUGUUGUGCUUAACAUUGAGCGAGCUUCUUCAUCUGUCCAGAAAAAGGGUAAGAAAAAGAAAAAUGUUAAGCCGAACAACAAUGGUGCUGCUAAAGGUGUAAAUGGUGUUGUGAAAAAGCCGAAAGGUAAGUGUUUUCACUGCAAGCAACCUGGUCACUGGAAGCUACAAUGUCCGACAUGGCUAGCCAAGAAAAAGCAAGGUACAUCUCUUUUUCAUUUACUGGUUGUUGAAACUUGUUUAGCGGUGUUGACUGCACACCAAUGGUGUGUAGACUCAGGAGCCACUAAUCAUGUCUGCAAUUCAUUGCAGGGGUUUCAGGAAACACGCCAGCUAAGUAAAGGGGAAGUGAACAUUUUUCUGGGAGAUGGCACUGAAGUUGCAGUUUUAGCUGUAGGAAACAUUGCUUUGAAUUUUAAGAAUAAUAGAACAUUGAUUUUAAAGAAUGUCUUGUAUGUUCCUUCGAUUAGAAGGAAUUUGAUUUCAGUUUCUAGUUUGAGUAAGAAUGGAUAUUCUGUUUGUUUUAAUGAAUUUUAUGAUGGUUAUGUCAUUAUUAAAUUUAGAGAACAAAUGAUAUGUUCUGGCUCUUUAAUUGAUGGUUUAUAUAUUCUUAAAGUUACACCUGAAUUGCAACUUACUAAUUCUGAAGUAAAUAACUUUGAUAUUGUUGCUCCAUUGAAAAGAAAGCGUCCUAUUGAAUUGAGCUAUACUUAUCUUUGGCAUUUGAGACUUGGUCAUAUUAAUUUAGAUAGAAUUUCUCUGUUGGUUAAAGAUGGACCUUUGAGUUCAUUGAAAGUGGAGGCACUACCAACGUGUGAAUCCUGUCUAGAAGGAAAAAUGACUAAGAGACCUUUUCCCUUAAAGGGUAAUAGAGCCAACGAUGUUCUUGAAUUAAUCCAUUCUGAUUUGUGUGGUCCAAUGAGUGUCCAAGCUAGGGGUGGUUUUGAGUAUUUUGUGACAUUCACAGAUGAUUACUCAAGGUAUGGAUAUAUUUACUUAUUGCGCCGUAAGUCUGAGUGUUUUGAGAAAUUCAAAGCAUUCAAGGCAGAAACGGAGAAGCGACAUGGGAAAUAUAUCAAAACAUUACGGUCUGACCGUGGUGGAGAAUACAUCUCUAGGGAAUUCAUUAACUUUUUAUCAGAACAAGGGAUUACUUCACAGUUAUCUGCACCUGGUAUGCCACAACAGAAUGGUGUAGCAGAAAGAAGAAAUAGGACACUUAUGGAAAUGGUUAGAUCAAUGAUGAGUUAUUCAGAUUUGCCAAUUUCAUUCUGGGGACAUGCAAUUGAGACAGCAGCAUACAUUCUGAAUUUAGUUCCUUCUAAGUCAGUACCUAAGACUCCUACAGAACUGUGGACUGGACGUAAGCCCAGCUUGAAACAUGUUCGGAUGUGGGGUUGUCCAGCACAUGUGUUGAAAGGGAAAACAGAUAAGUUGGAAACAAAAACAGAAUUAUGUUUCUUUAUUGGAUAUCCUAGAGGAACGAAAGGUGGUUUAUUUUAUAGUCCUAAAGAUAAAAAGAUCAUUGUUAGCACCAAUGCACAUUAUCUUGAGGAAGACUAUAUUAGAAACCAUAUUCCCAAAAGCCAAUUAGCCUUAAAUGAGUUGAGAGGAGACACCAUACCAACUAGAAUUUUUCCAUCAGAACAUGAACCUGAACCAUUCAUGGUCGGAGCUGACAUUCCGUUACAUCAACGUAGUGGGAGAAAUGUUAGUGGACCGGAAUUUGAAACUUCUGACAUUUCAUUGCCUGUUGGUGAUGAAGAAAAUGUUGAAGCACCAGUACAUGUGCCGUUUGAAGAACAUAUUGAUGAAGUACAGGAUGUGGUCCCACCAGUCAUAGACUUGCUGGCCUUACAGCCACAGUAAGAUGAAGGUGUGGCUGAACAACCUAUAGUACUUCGUCGUAGUGGGAGAACAAGACGACCACUGGUUCGAUAUACACUCUUGGGAGAAGCAUUUGAUAGAAUCCCUGAAGAAGUGAAUACCGAACCAGUAUGUUACGACGAUGCACUACAAGAUAAAGAUGUUGAUAAGUGGCUGGUAGCUAUGAAAUCUAAGAUGGAGUCUAUGUACUCUAAUCAAGUCUGGGAACUUGUAGAACCACCUAAAGGGGUGAAACCCAUUGGAUGUAAGUGGAUCUAUAAGAAAAAAAGAGGUAUAGACGGAAAAGUGCAAACUUAUAAAGCUAGGCUUGUUGCGAAAGGGUAUACUCAGAAAGAAGGGAUCGAUUAUGAGGAAAAUUUUUCGCCAGUAGCCAUGCUUAAGUCUAUUAGAAUUCUCUUAUCCAUUGCAGCUUAUUUCGAUUAUGAAAUUUGGCAAAUGGAUGUCAAGACAGCUUUCUUAAAUGGAAGUCUUGAUGAAUGCAUCUAUAUGAAGCAACCAGAAGGUUUCAUAACAAAUGGGCAAGAACAUUUGCUAUGUAAAUUGAAUAGGUCCAUUUAUGGCCUUAAACAGGCAUCUAGAUCUUGGAAUACUUGUUUUGACCAGACGAUCAAGACUUUUGGUUUUGAUCAGUGUCAUGAUGAGUCUUGCGUGUAUAAGGAGUGGAAUGGUAAGAAGGUGGUGUUUUUGGUACUAUACGUGGAUGAUAUUCUACUUAUAGGAAAUUGUAUAGGUAUGUUGACUUCGGUCAAGGACUGGUUGUCUCAGCGUUUUGAUAUGAAGGACUUGGGAGAAGCUGCUCAUAUUCUUGGGAUCAAGCUUAUGCAAAAUCGCAAGAAAAGGAUGAUAGGCUUAUCCCAGGCACUUUAUAUUGAUACUAUUCUCAAUCGUUUCAACAUGCAGGGUUCAAAGAAGGGUUUUCUUCCUUUUAGACAUGGAAUCGCUCUAUCUAAGGAUCAGUCUCCUAAGACUCCUGAAGAGAUAGAAAGCAUGAAGGCAGUUCCUUAUGCUUCUGCAGUAGGAAGUCUCAUGUAUGCGAUGUUGUGUACUAGACCCGAUAUCUGUUUUGCUGUUGGCAUGGUAAGCAGAUUUCAGUCUAACCCGGGGAGAGAACAUUGGACUGCAGUUAAACAUAUAAUCAAGUACUUAAAAAGAACUAGAGAUUAUAUGUUAGUUUUCCAGUCAGAAAAUCUUGUGCCCAUAGGGUAUACAGAUUCAGAUUUUCAAUCUGAUCAGGACUCUCGUAAAUCUACCUCGGGAAAUGUUUUUGUCUUAGGAGGUGGAGCCAUUAGUUGGAGGAGUAUCAAAAAAACUUGUGUUGCUGACUCCACCAUGGAAGCUGAAUAUGUGGCAGCCUCUGAGGCAGCCAAGGAAGCUGUGUGGCUUAGAAACUUCCUUUUGGAUCUAGGUGUGGUUCCUUCGGUUCAAUCGCCUAUUACACUUUAUUGUGAUAAUAGCGGGGCGGUUGCAAACUCGAAAGAGCCACGGAGCCAUAAAAGGGCAAAACACAUAGAGCGUAAGUAUCACUUGAUACGAGACAUAGUUCAAAGGGGUGAUGUGGUGGUGAUGAAGAUUGCAUCGGAAAACAACCUAGCAGAUCCUUUUACAAAGAGCUUAUCGUCCACGACUUUUGAAAGACAUGUAGAAGGAAUGGGGGUUAAAGUAGCAGAUGCAUGGUUAUAAGUCUAAGUGGGAGAUUGAUAGAGAUAUACUAUUAACCAUGCAUAAGCGUGAAUUUAAUAGUAUGUUAUUAUGAUGUCAUUCUAUAAACAAUUAUUUCUUUGUAUUUAAUUGGAGAUUUGCAUUAGAUAAAUUAAUCUUUCGGCAUAAUUUAAUAAUAAUUGUGUUAGUAUAUUUUAUAUAUAACUAACUGGACCAAGUAGAGAAUGGAUGUUUUGUACUGACUGUUAAAACAUAUUCUCUAGGACAUUAGAAAUAAGAUUUAUGUUUUUAAUCAUGAUUUAAUUAAUAUGAGCAAAUAUAAAAUAUCUUGUGUUUUGAUUCAUUAAAGAGUGAGUUUCAUUUAUUGGAGCGAUAAGACUCGAUGAGUUGGACAAAGACGCUUUAUGUUUGCGAUGUAUUAAAUAAUGAUUGAAUCCACGUCUCGGUAUAGAGAUUGAUGAUGCACUUUAAGUAAGCUUAUAAGGUUUCAUAGUAUAAACCCUGCAGGUGGAUUUUUAUCCGACACAUGAAUUAAGUUAAGCGAAAAUCUUGAAGAUCUAUUGUUACUCAAAUAAAUUGUCAGUAAUUUGUUUGAUGUAAAUAGCAUCUGUAAUCUUAACGUGGGAAACAUAAAUUAUUAUGUAAUGGAAUUGUAAGAUUAAUAAGGAGUUCAAUCAUGAAUUUUUAGUGGUAUAAUUUGUGAUUAAUUAUAGUGAGAAUAUACUGGUCCUGUAUGAAUUCUUAUUAUAAUUAGUAGCCUUGUUAAUUUUAUUCCUGCGGUCCCUGCUGUGCCUUAAUUGUUUGGACUAUACAUGAAUUAUGUGUUUUAAAUAAAUGAUAGAUUAGUUUUUAAUUAAAUUUUAUUUAAUUAAAAAUAGAUAAUCUAAUUUAUUUAAAAUGAGCAUUUUAAGGGAAAGAGAGUCACGCUUAUAUCUUUUUUCUUGAAGCAAAUUAUGUGCUUAAGAGUUUCUAAGAAAGUGGUCUUCUUCCCAUCGAAGAGAUAUAUAUUAGAAACAAAAAAAAGAGUUUCUAACAAAGUGGUCUUCUUCCCAUCGAAGAGAUAUAUAUUAGAAACAGAAAAGAGAGUGACGUACCCUAGCUAUUGUUUUUUCUGCCCACUCAGAAAUCAUAGUCCGGAAAAUUGAUAAGGUAAACAGCAGAAGAUUGUAGGAGAUUGUGGGCGUUUUCAGCAGAGAAAAAGGUCAGUCUUUUACAUAUGGUUUUGGCUUGCCUCCAUGCUUGUUUCAUCAUGAUUUGUUUCCGCUGCGUAAAUCAUGGUUUCUA
rnacentral:lncRNA from 1 species